ACAAUUAAACAGAAACUACAAAAAAAAUAUAAAACAAGAAAAAAAAACUUGUUUAAUUUUAAUUUUAAUUUUAAAUUUUAAAAUUUUAAUUUUUUCUGUAUGUGAUACAUAUUUUAAUUUACUUCAUAUUUUGUUUUAAUUUUUAAGGAAGAAUUUUCAUUUUCAAAUUUUAAGUCAAUGUGUUAGAGGACAAUACACACACGACAAAUUUGUUCCACGUCUCACAAAUUCCUCUGAAUUUAAAUUCCAUUUUGAUUUAUCAGUAGAAGCUUCUUCUUCCGGUGAGCUUCUAGAUAAAAAAUGUGCUCUUCGAGAAAAAUAAAAUUAAAUCAAAAAGAAAUAGAAAAAAGAAUUAAAGGAGUUUUGCGUAAUUUUGAAUUUAAACACCUAUCAUCGAUGACCAACUCGACUAUACUGUACCGUGCCAAUAAAAUAUCGACAUAAUAUAUUUUCUUGUGAGCUCAAAAUUUUUUUUUAAAAUUGUUAAAAAUUAUAUUUAGAGCAAUUAAAAUAUACUAUGAUUAAAACGGAAAGAAUCAUAAGGAUCAUUCUUUUUUUUUGGGGGGGGGUAAAAUAUAGAAUAGUCUAUGUAAAUAUCUAUUUUUAAAUUUUUUUCUUCACUUUCAAAAAUCUAUAUUUUAAUAUUUUUAAAAUUUUCAGUUGACGCAUUUAACUCCCAUUCGUAUCGAUUUUUUCACUACUCCGUCAAUUACUUAUAAUUUAUAGCAAAAAUAUUUUUAAAAAUGACAAAAAUAUGUUAACUAUUUUUCUACAAAAUAAAUAAGACCAAUUUGGUCAUUUCAUUUUUCUAUUAAAGCCAUAAUUUUUUUAAAAGAUUUUUAAGAUUGAGGAUACAUGUAAAUCAUAUACUUUGUCCCCUUCUGACAAGGGCAUUUUCGUCUUUUCACCAAACCAAAACGGGAUAUAAAUAGCGGGAGUGGUCACUCUGUGUGUUGUCCCUCUCCCCCUCUCUCUCUCUCUCUCUCUAAGCAACAAUGGCGAUUCAAAUCCGACCACAUCUCCACCCUCUCAUCCUUGUUUUGGGCAUAACAUGAUAGGUUUGAAUCUCUCCAACCAAAUUCUGUUUAUUUUUUGUAAUUUGGGCAUCUUAUAUGCUAAUCGAGGAGUUUGUGCCGAGUGUUGAACAAUUUGAGCGCAAUUUUUUGGGUUUUUUUCCUUAAGAUUUGGGGAAGUUAAUUUCAUAAACCCUUUUGUGGGUUUAUGGAAUUAAAGUUGCUAACUUAACUCUGAAGCCCAUAAAAAUCGCAUUUUUGGAGCAAUUCCAGUGUUUUAUGCUGGAUUUUGAGUUCAAAAAGAGUAGGUGAAGUGAUAAAGUGAUGUUAGUGUUGUAGAAUUGUAUCUGACUUAUUAUCUGCUGUUGAAUUACCUGAGAUGAGACCCCUUUUUUUGUCCUUUUGAAUUUUAAUUAGUGCUUCUUUUGUUCUUUUUUCCGGCUAAAAUGUGUGGACACUCCCCAAAUUUGGGUAAUUUGGAAACGAGUUCUCAAACUAUAAAUUUCUUUUUGAAUAUGUUUUCAUACCCCCAUAGUUUUUUUUUUUUCACUGAUGAAUAUUCUAUGACUUAAGUGGUAUUUUAGUUAAUAGUUCUGUCAUUCUAAUUAAAUUUAAUAAAAAUUUGUAGAAUAUUCCAUUUAAGUUGUGGAAUAUCCUGUUUUAAACGGUUUGUAGAGUGGUAAUUUGGAUGGAAUUUCCUAAAAUUAGUAGAAAAGUUGGGGGUUGAAACUCAAAAUUUAAAGAUUAGAGACCUAUGUCCAAAAUUGGAGGGGUGUGAAUAACCAUUUUAGCUUUCUUUUGUUGCUAGCACUAGGAUUUUUUAUUGUUUGCUAUGGAUCAUUUUUCAUUUAGUGAGAGGUUUAGUAUAUACUUCUAACUUAAUAAUCAUCUAGACAUAUCGAUGACUGGGCAGUUUUUGUGCUGUUAAUAAUACACCUUAAAUGUAUAUUUCCAUUUAUUAAUUUCAAUCUAUAAAAGUACCUUUUGUUUUACUACAACAUAAGGACCUUUUGUUUUACUACAACAUAAGGACCUAUGUUAAAUUACCGAAAACAAAUGAGUGCUGAUUGUUUGGUAUAUCCAACCUUGUCAUAUAAUCCAUCCAACUUUGUUCUUCUUUUUCUUUCAAUGAAAACAACAUUUGUAGAUAGCAUAAUUAGUGCGUUUAUUGAUAGUUGGUGUAGAAAAUAUGAAUCUUUGGCCUUCGGUCAUUAUGGAGGAAGCCGGCUAGUUGUCACCACUACCUUAUAUUUUGUUCAUUCAGAGUAACCUCAGUUCCAUUUGAAGACACUGAAAGAAAAUAAGAUUGGAAGAAGUACCACGAGAAAUCCGUAGCUUGUAUCUCAAACGUCUGAAGUUUCGGCCAAAAUCUAUUUGGAAAUUUUAAACUAUGACAAUCUUUAGAGUUUCAACAAUUUUCUGUAGUUUUAGGAGAGUUCCAGACUUUUUUUUUUUAUCCCCAGAAUAGUGCGUUCCUUUCAACAACUGAAGCUUAUGACAGAGAAAGCAUAUUUCUCAACUCCAAUGUAGGAAAAUUAUCAUCUGUUCUUAGUUUUUGCAUACUCUUGACAUCUCUGACUUUGCUUUUCAAAUGUUGAUUAGGUCUUCUCAGCAUAAAAGUUAUAUCUGUACUUCAUCAGUGAAUUAGCUGCUUUUAAUGUCGAAUAUAUCAUUUUGCCAAUAGCAGUUUUCUUUUUUUGCUUUUUCAAUCAAUAUUCACCUUUAGAUUUUUCUUAUUCUAAUAAUUUUGAAAAGGUUGUUAUUACUUGAAGUCCAUAAACAACUUUUUAAGAACUGCUUAGUUGGUCUAGUUAGCCACCAAGGGAGAAAGUUCAGGAUUAAUUGGAAUUAUGCUUCCACUCGGUUUUAUCUAGGAUAAUGUUGUAUGGAGUUAAAAAUUGUAGGAAGACCCCCUCAAACAAUAGGCUGUAUAGAAAUAGACUUCUAAGUUAGUGUUUUUGUUUGGCACCACCUCAACUCUUUUUUCUUAUCUUACAUUACUUCUAAAUUGUGGAUUUCAUGAAGUUUGCCAUUGAUUCUGUAAAAUAUAAUAGCUCUAGCUACUUUUCAGAUAAUGAAACUCCGGAUUUCAUUAACAUCUAAAGGUAGUGCUGAUCGUCCCUAGUGCAAGUGGCAAAGGGCCCAAUGAUUGGUAUUCGAGGUCUCAAGUGCAAAGCCUAGUUGCUUUAUAUUUUUAGCUAAAUUCAUUUCUGGAAAAAAUAAUAAUAAUAACAAAGCAGGUAGCAGGCUAGUUUUCUCUCAAAAAAAAAAAAAACACUUAACAGUAGUAGCUAAUGAAGCCAUUUAUUUCAAUGAAUCCCUGAUGUAUGUUUGCUAUUAUCAUUACUGUCUUUAUAGCAUCUCUGCACACCAAUAUUUUGAUGAGAUAUUACAAAAACAUACAACUAGAAGAAAAUAUGUCAUCAAAGCAGCUUUCUAGAGUAACUCAAGCAACCAUCCCUUUAAUCUUUUUGUCACCAAGCUGAUUACUAUUGUUAUUUUCUUUCUUUUUUUUUUUUUCACAGGCCUAAGCUGUAAUUUGGAGAGGCGCGGCAAUUUUUGUAUUAUUUUGACCAAAUUAUCCUCCUCAAUGUUAAAAUUAAUCCCUUUCCUCUAUUUCUCCACUUCUCUUUUCUUUAUCCUUCUACCAUUAUCUACUUCUUUGCCACUUGAAACGCAAGCACUCCUCGACAUAAAGAGGCACUUAAAUGAUCCCAUGAACCAUCUUGCUAGCUGGAACAAAUCUAAUUCUCCUUGUCAAUUUUAUGGUGUCACCUGCGACUUAAGUUCCCAGCACGUGAUUGGAAUUGCACUUGCCAAUUUAUCAUUAUCUGGCUCACUAUCGCCCUCUGUUUCUCUUCUACCAAGUUUAGUUUCUCUAGAGCUUGGAGCAAAUAGCUUAUCAGGAAUUGUACCUUCCGAACUUGCCAACUGCACAAAUCUUCAAGUUCUUAAUCUCUCAACAAACAGCUUAACUGGUAAGGUGCCGGAUCUUUCAGCUCUAAAGAACCUUCAAGGUUUUGACCUGUCAACAAACGGCUUUUCCGGUGAAUUUCCAACAUGGAUCGGGGAAUUAUUAGGCCUAGUCGAGCUGGGCCUUGGAGAGAAUAAUUUUGAUGAGGGGUUUAUUCCACAAAAUAUUGGAAAUUUAAAGAAUUUGACAUGGCUCUUCUUGGGACAAUGUAAUCUCAUUGGCGAAAUACCGGCCUCCAUUUUCGAGUUAACUUCACUAGGAACAUUAGACUUCUCCAGAAACCAGAUCUCUGGGAUAUUUCCAAAAGCAAUUUCAAAUUUGCAAAAUCUCUACAAGAUCGAGCUCUUCCAGAACAAUUUGACUGGAGAAAUCCCUCCUGAGCUUGCAAAGCUCACACUAUUAUCUGAAUUUGAUAUUUCUCGCAACCAACUGAGUGGAGAGAUUCCUCCUGAAAUCGGUAGCCUUAAAAAGCUGAAAAUUUUUCAUCUGUAUCGGAACAACUUCUCGGGUGAAAUUCCUGAAGGAUUUGGGGAGCUGGAGUUUCUUUGGUCAUUUUCCAUCUAUGAGAAUAGUUUUUCUGGAAAAUUUCCUGCAAAUUUCGGUCGUUUCUCGCCACUCAACAGCAUAGACAUAUCUGAGAACAAUUUCUCCGGUGAAUUUCCCAGAUUCCUUUGUCAAAACAACAACCUUCAAUUCUUGCUCGCUCUUGAUAAUGACUUUUCGGGUGAAUUUCCAGAUUCUUAUUCAUCUUGCAAAACUUUGCAGAGGUUUCGAAUUAGUCAGAACCACUUCACCAGGAAAAUCCCCGACGGUAUCUGGGGAUUGCCAAAUGCAGUAAUUAUUGAUGUAGCAGACAAUGGUUUUGUUGGAGGGAUUUCUUCAGACAUAGGAGUUUCAGCUAGUCUAAAUCAGUUAUAUGUUCAAAAUAACAAGUUCGUUGGGGAGCUUCCUCCUGAACUGGAGAAUCUGUACCAGUUGCAGAAACUUUUUGCUUUUAAUAACAGCUUUUCUGGCCAAAUCCCUUCUCAAAUUGCCUCCCUCAAGCAGUUAUCAUCUUUGCAUUUGGAAGGAAAUGUCCUUACAGGACCAAUUCCUUCGGAAGUCGGGUUGUGUACUAACCUGGUAGACCUAAAUCUUGCACAAAAUUUAUUGGGAGGUACUAUUCCAGAAACACUAGAUUUACUUACUUCCCUCAAUUCGCUCAAUCUAUCCCAAAACUAUCUCCGCGGCUCAAUUCCAGAGGGUUUGCAAGCAUUAAAGCUAAGUUAUGUCGAUUUUUCCAAUAAUCAAUUAUCAGGAGGGAUACCACCAGAGCUUCUGCUAAUAGCUGGUGAAGAAGCAUUUUCUGGAAAUGACGGGCUUUGUAUUGAAGAGAUUCCCAGAACCCAGAAAUACUCUAGUUUAAGUUUUUGCAAUUCGAAUCAUGGCCGCAAUGGUGUUUUGGGAAGGCGAGUAGUUCUUAUGAUAAUCAUCUUUGUAGUAUUGAUUGUCCUUUUAGCUGGCCUGGCAUUUGUGAGCUAUGAAAGCUUUAAGCUCGAAGAACGUCGCAAAAGGAGAGAUUUUGAUGAGUGCAAAGGAAAAGAUUCAAAGUGGGUACUCGAAUCUUUUCAUCCAAUGGAGCUUGAUCCAGAGGAAAUAUGUAAUCUGGAAGAGGAUAAUUUGAUUGGAAGUGGAAGCGCAGGUAAAGUUUAUAAAUUGGAUUUGAAUAAAAGCCGAGGAACUGUUGCUGUAAAGCAAUUAUGGAAAAAUGAUGCAGCAAAAGUACUAACGGCAGAAAUAAACAUUUUGGGAAAGAUCAGGCACAAAAAUAUAUUGAAAUUGUAUGCUUUGCUAAGAGUAGGGGGAUCAAAUUUUCUUGUUUAUGAAUAUAUGCCGAAUGGCAAUUUAUAUCAAGCUCUUCGAAGGGAAUUUAAAGGUGGGCAGCCAGAGUUGGAUUGGAAUAAAAGGUAUAAGAUUGCUGUGGGGGCUGCAAAGGGUAUUAUGUAUCUUCAUCAUGAUUGCUCUCCGCUCAUUAUUCAUAGAGACAUAAAAUCCACUAAUAUAUUGUUAGAUGAUGAGUAUGAUGCAAAAGUUGCUGAUUUUGGAAUAGCAAAGAUUGCAGAAGGGUCGGAGCUCAGUUGUUUUGCUGGUACUCUUGGUUAUCUUGCUCCUGGUAUGCUUGCUGCUAGAGUGUAUGCACUCAUUUUUUUUUAAGUUCUUUCCCUUUUCUGAUUUAUUCCUUGCUUUACCCUGUCCUGUAGGGAAUUAAAAGAUCAGAGUAUUCAUCAGUACGCGCCAUUUUAUGUUGAUUUGAUUUUGUACAGAAGUUAAUUGGAAUUUUAUCCAUUUCUCAAACUAAGAAGCAUACAUUAUUAGUGUGUAUUCUUUAUUAACAAUUUAGAACAUGUGAAGUAUAACUUUGCUGUCAUGGUUGCAUUUCACCGCAGCAUGUAUCACAUAUAGAGAAGAAAUCGAUAUAAAUUUUUGCUCAUGAUAUUCCUUCCUAUUUCAAGAACAUAUGUUUGAUUUUUUCCCUUACUAAUUUUAAUUGCACAUAAUGUUUCUCAGAGCUUGCAUACUCUCUCAAGGCAACAGAGAAGAGUGAUGUCUAUAGCUUCGGUGUUGUCUUACUGGAAUUGCUCACAGGCCGCAGUCCAAACGAUCCUCAAUCCGACAAUGGAGAAGAUCUCGUCUGUUGGGUAUUGACUCGCCUAGACGGCCAAAACUUCUCAAAAGUCUUUGACCCAAGGGUGUCUAUUUAUGCAGAAGAAGAUAUGCUGAAAGUUCUAAAUAUAGCCAUUCUCUGCACGAAUAAGUUGCCGUCGGUGCGGCCUACCAUGAGAGAAGUAGUCAACAUGCUUAUUGAUUCUGGUCCUUGCUCUAUCAGGAAGAGAGCAAAGAGCUUUGGUAAUAACUGCUAGCUUUUCCUUAAGCAGCUCUUUUUGUAUAGGGGCGUUUACACAAAUAUCCCUGCAUUUAGUUACAUAGAUCCUAUGCGAAUUCCGAAUUCUCAAUACAUUCCCCAUGCAGCUCUUUGAAAGAACCUUAUCUUUAAGUUGGGCAGUCAUCGGAAUCCCUGGAGGGUUGAAGCUUGUUGUGAAUCUAAAAUGAAUCUAAGUGCGUCAUUUUCAUAACUACAAGAGCAUAUGCUUUAAUGAUCUUUGAUGAAAACUCAGAUUUUGCAGGGAACUGUGUAAACAGAGAAUCUGUAGGGAUGUAUGUGUAAAUUACCCAUGUUGUAUAAUAUCAGUGUAGUAAUGAGAAUGUUUAGGUAGUCUAGCUCAUGUACAAGAUAUUCAGUUUUAGAAUUGCUUCUUUUAUUGAUCUAGGAAAUGCCGUAGGAGGCAUUUGGUAUCAAUUUAGGACUCAACACUUGUAUUUGAUCAUCUGUAUGCUAGCAAUAGAUUUUCUUUUCUUUUUUUUAUUUCUCAAGCCCUAUGAACCAUGGAUAUGGUCCUGUGGAUAUCCGGUACAGGCGCGAUGUUACGACAAACGCACAAACGGAAACGAAAUGACGAACACAAACACAAUCAAACCAUAAGCAGAAAAAAUAAAGAGACACAGAUUUACGUGGAAAACCCUUUGCAGGGAAAAACCACAGGCGAGGGAGGAGAGAUCUUCACUAUGGAACGAAAAAGGGAAUACAAAGUUCUUCAGGUUACAACCAACCACGAUCACACGCCUCUAGGGCAUAAACGAUAAACGAAAAGAAAAAACUCAUAACGGGUUUCGGAUCCGAUCCGUACCGCGGGGGGCUGUCGGCCCGAGCCCUCCGCUACCCACCACAGACAUUCAUUUUUCCUCCAUAAUUUUCUUUUCUAAAUUGGUCGCACCGCGAAGCUGUCGGCAAGUCGUAAACCCGAACCUGAAUCGAUAGUAGAUUUCGAGUCACAUCUAACACGCGACAUGAGAUGCAGGAUACAAUAUGGUCAGAAUAUGCGUACGACAUGAAAGUUGAUCUACACACAUAUCAACAUAAUCUUAUGUCCUACAUGCAUGCAUUUGCACAUACAUACUAGAUGAUACCUGCAGCUGUGGGUAUAUAAAGAACUUCUUUGAUAGGUAAACACUAACUGACAAUCUGUUUCAUGUAAUAGUAAAAUGAUUGUUUUGCUCUAAAUACUUGACAUCAACAAAGGUAUCUCCAAUAUAUAUGACAACAUAAAAACAAAAUUUCCAUUGAUAAAGUAAAUACAUAGAACAUUAGAAUAUUCAAUCUAUAAAUCGUAAUGCAUUAUUGUCAUAGUGGAAGUAAAUUUGAGGCUCUUUAAUGACCUCUAUAGCCUUUCCAACAUAAAAAUGAGCAAGAAUUUUUUAAUAUGUUCUGUGGGGCAUUUUCAUUUAAUAAUUUUUAUUUACAAUUAACUAUCUACUGGGUCAUGAAUGUGGAUUGGAUCGGAUGGCUUGCAUGGUAUCACUUGUUGCAGGAUGAGAGUGGAUCAGCUAGUUAAAAAACAAUGCAGUCGAUUAAAAUGAAAGCCAACUAAGAGGUACGUAAAGUCUAAUUGUCAUAAAUCGAAUUACUCUUUCACAUUCAAUAUAUUGUAAUAAGUUGUCAACAUGGUGAAUCUCUACUGUGAUCUUUCUCUUCUGUUUUCUUCUGAUGUAAAUGUAAUGAUAGAAGAUGAGAUCUCUUCUUAGUAUCACUUGAAAGGUAUAACCCCUAGUGGUUUUUUUUCCUACUGUUAUGAUGAUUCCCUUUUCUCUUUUUUUUUUUAAAUUUUUUUGUUCUGGUGAAUUAAGGAUUCGACCUUGUGCUCUUCCACAUUUUUCUGCUCUCAUUUUUCGCUUUACGAGCUUUUUCGAUCUACAAUCCAAUGUACCUUUCAAGACCUAACAGCCCGUAUUAUAUUAGAUUAAAGUCCUCCCUUUCUCUCGAUUGUGUCGCUCCUGCUGGUCUCUUCAGAACAAGGUUUUAAGUGCCCGUCGGCACGAGCCGUAUCCACCGUGCCGUACCGUGCCAACAAGAUACCGGCACGAUACAGACCCCGUGCCGACGGCACAGUUCAAAACCCUCUAUUCUUUAAAUUAGUAAGUAAUUUCCUCAAUAAAGUUCAAAAGAUGUGAUAAAAAGACAUAAUAAAUAGUUAGAAUAUUUUGUUGCUAAAGAAAAUAAAUAUUUCAUGCUAUUAUGUGUCGGCACACAAGGUGUUUUUUUUAUCGGCACGCACCGUGCCGGCAAGUUUCCGGCACGACCCCGUGCCAUGGCACUUAAAUCCUUGCUUCAGAACUCUUAUUUUUGAAACCCUCAAUAAUAUUUCUCCACCAAUAUAUCUAUCAACCAUGAUUCCUAGUAGUUUUAUUAUAACCUUAUAUGCCACUAUUUGCAACCUAUAUAAGCCCCCUCAAAACUAAACUUUUUUUUUUAAAAAAAUUCAAGUUAGAUUCCUCAUUCCUAUGCUAUAUUCGAGUAGAAUGCAAGGAGUCUCUCUUAGGGUGCGUUUGGUUCGCAUUAUAAAAGAUUACUAGGAAUAAAAGAUAUCCGAGAAUCUUAUUACUAUUCAUCCUAUUACUAAGAAUGUGGAAUUCCUGUGUUUGGUUCACACAGUAAUAUUAAUUAGCCAUGUUAUUUAAUAUUACAAAAAUUAUACAAUUAAUUAAUUUAUUUAUUUAUUUAAUUUUAGAUAAUGUUACCAAAAGUUUCAACAUCUUUUUAGAAAAAAGAGAGAGAGAGUAUAAGUUAGAGAGAGAGAGCAUAAUUAAAAAAAUAGAAAAAAAAAUAUAGUCGAAAUUAGAGGAAGUGAGAGAGUUGAAAUUUUAGAAAGAGAGAGAGAGAGAAAGCUUAGUUUAGAGAGAGAAAAAAAAGUUGAAUUUUAGAGAGAAAAAUAAGUUUAGAGAGAGAUGUAAGGUUAGAGUGUAAAGAAAAAUAAUAUCAAUUAGCCGGCGGGUAGGAAGAAAGAAAGAGAUUAGACAUAUUAUGAUUACCCCAAUCCAUUAAUAUGAGGAUACCCACCCUCCCUCAAGGGAAUGAGAUUAGUACUUUGGGGUGAAUCUUAUUCCCAAGUAAAUCCAAUAUUACCAACUAGAUUACUUAGUGCGUUUAGCCAAACAUCGUCAUAUUUUUUUAUUCUCAUUGGAUUACUAGGAAUCUUUAAAAGAUAGCGCGAACCAAACGCACCCUUAAGGUAAAGUUUGUAAUGAAAAGACCAAGCUGGUAUUCUUUUUCUUUCUUCGAUAGUCCGAAAUUACCAAAAUAUGAUAAUGAAGCUUUCCUGCUGGAUUAUUCUGGUGCCUGGGUGGUCACAUUCUCGUAGGCCCCCAGAAAAGGAAAAAAGAAAAAUUGUGUCACAACAAUGGAAGCAACGCAUAUAUUUAUGUAUGAAGCAACAAACAGAUGAUGGAGUAGUGUCAAAGAAUUGCUGUUAGAAUGUCAUUUUACAUGCUAAUCAAAGAGUUAUCUUACGACAAGCAUUGACAAAUCCACAUUUUUCAUCAGGUUACUGUUACUAUUAAUAAAUUGAUAGUUGUACAUGUAUGUAUUGUUUUUAGUGGACUUGUUUAGUUGGAAAGGCAUAUUCUUUCCCUCUUUAUUAAGUUAAUGUGCAGGAAAUGUUAUUAUUCAAGUUUUCUACUUCCCAUAGCAUUCUCUCUUUAUAUAUUUUUAUGUAAACCUGGAUAAAUGUGUGUCCCACUUGUUGCAGGAUGCAAGUUUUGUUACUGUUUGAUUUUAUCCAGAAACAUGUACUUGAUAUCAGCAUUCCACAACAAAGCCUUCGCUUUCUUAGAUCAAAAUUACGCGACACCAGUCGCGUUCUGCGGUAUGAAUUCAGAGCUUUUCAACUCAAUUGAUGUCUCAAAUGAAUAGUGAUUUGAUUAUACUGAUAUCUGAAAACUCUGCUUAUAUGAUAUAAUGCCUGAACAAUAUCUCUGUUGCUUGGUUUUCUCUGGAUUGAGGUUGAAUUAGUCGGCCUUCAUGUUGAAAACUUUAUACAUCAAAUUGUGCGAAUUCGAAUGCACUCAGAGCUGAUGCAAGAGACUCUUGAAUUUCGUUUUUCUUUUAACUGUACUCUAUGCCCUAAACCCCUUUUACAUAAUCAUAUCAAUGAAUAUGAUUCAGCACAAUGAUCUAAACUAUUAUACAUUAUUAUUUGGGGUUAACAUUCUUUCUAUGCUGUGAUUUUUUGGAGCCAAUUUUUGAUGAUAGUUAUGUUUGCUUGUUCUCCUUCUCUUUAGAACAUUAUUUCUAGAGGAGGAUUAAAUUUAUUAGAUCUAGUGUUCUAAAUUGAUUGUUUUUUUUUUAAGGAAUAAUUGCCUAUAUACCCCUCAAAACUUUGAAAAUAUCUCAUUUGUCCAUACUAUUUUUUUUUUUCCAAUGUACUCCUCAUAUAUUCCUCCGUUAUUUCAGAAUAUUCCUAUAAUUAUCACCCGUUAAGUUAACUUAGGUUAAAUAUGAGUUAAAUAUUUAACAGAGUUAAAAAAAUAAUAAUGGCAAAUAAGAUAUGUUUGUGAUGAUAGAAGGGUAACUUAAGGGCAAAUGAGAAAUGUUUGUAAUGAUAGAAGGGUAACUUAAGGGUAAAUAAGAAAUGUUUGUGAUGAUAGAAGGGUAUAUUUGAAAAGAACAAAAAAUUAAAAUAUUUUUUUUGCCCCUAACUUAAUGGCAAAUAAAAAAAGUCAGUGAUGGUAGAAGGGUAUAUUUGAAAGGGCAAAAUAGUAAUUUUAUAGAAAUAACAGCUACUGCUAACAAUCUUUUUUUUUUUUUUUGAGAAAGGCAGCACGCUACCUGCUUCAUUCAUGCUAUCGCUAACCGUUCAUAAAUAGAAUUUAACUCUAUGGGUAUAUUUGAAAUAUGUUGAAAUGUAAAAAAGGUAUUUGAAAUAUUAGCCUUCUCUAAGGAGGAUAAAUCAGAAAAUCGAGAAUUUUUCAGGGGUAGAUAAGUAGUUGCCCCUUUUUUUUAAAUACCAAUCAAAGAGAAAAAUGUUGUGGCAUGAUUAAUUGAAUUUGGGGUUACAAAGAAAGCAAUUAAUAUUCGACGGAAGCACAAGUGGCAAAGGGCUUGGUGGUUGGUAUCCGAGGUCCCAAGUUCGAAUCCUAGUUGAUUCACAUUUUCAGCUAAGUUUAUUUCUAAAUAAAAAAAUAUUCGAGGGAUUGUGAUGUUGCUUGGACGGUUCAUACUCUCUAUUAUUAUUAUUAUAUAUAUAAUUUGAUUACUUAUUGACUUAGACUGGUCAAACCCUAUCACAUUAGAGGAGAGCUAACAAGUGGUUCAAAUUAUAUGUUUAACUCUUUAAUUUUAAUUUUAAUUUAUAUUCAAAAUUCAAAUUCCACACCUAAAUUUCGACCUUAAGUGUGAAUUUAACUUUUUUUAUUUAAAGAACUUCAAAUGGUUUAGUUAUCCAUUUAAUUUAAAUUCAUAUUUUAAAUUAAAGGGUUUGAAAUUUUUUGACAAUAAUUUAUAAAUUUUAGAAAAGAUUUUUGUUUACUAUUUGACAAUAAUAACAUCACAUGAUUAAAUCCUUCCCUCGUGAAGUCACGUAGCCCAUGGACUUUUUAACCAAUGAGGUAAUGCCACAUGCCUAUAGAAAAGUUUGGAUGUGCCCGGUUCACAAUAAACCGACUAUAAAUUGUACAUUAAAAAUAAAAUGUCGAUGAGAUAAUAAAUUAUUUAAAUAUUUUUAUUAUAUUAUAUUUUAUCUUAUAUUAAAUAUUCCAUCAAUUAUAUAAUAUUCUGUGCAGUAUACGAAAAAUUAGUAUGUAUUAGAUGCAAACAAAAAUUUCUCCUUUCUUUUGAAAUUAUAUGUGUACCGUACUAAGCAUUUUCUGCACCCGGAUAUAUUUAUGUAUAUUUGCCACAUGCUCAACAUUCUUUAAUAGAGAUUUUUAAAUUAAUACAUCAAAUAUAAUUUAAAUUAUUAGACUUUAUAAAUAAGGUAUAUUUAAUUAAUUUUUUGAUAAUGGAUCAUUAGUCAUCUAAUAUAAAUUGUAGCGUGUAGAGUAAUAAUAUGCACCAGAUAUAUGCAAUAUUUGCUUCUCUUCUAAUUAAUUUUAAUAAGGUAAAAGACAAUCUCACCUAUUCAUUAAUUUGAUUUGAAAUAAGUUCUUCAAUUUUAAUUUUUUAAUUAAAAAAAUUUACUUACAGGAUGGCCAUAAAAUUAUAAAUUUUACUAGUAAAGUUUUAAAUAAAAUUUUUAAAAUAAUUCAACUCUAUAAAUAUUAAAAUUUAAGAAAAUAUUAUUAUUUUUUUAAUGUAUAUAGGACUAUUUUAUAAUUUUUUUAUAUUUUUAAUAUAUUUUUUAUUUUUAAAAUUUUAAUAAUUAUAUAUUUUAAUUGGCUGAAAUAUUAUCUACCCGCCGCGAAGCACGGGUCCUAUACUAGUUUAGAAAUAUAAGGUACUCACCACUCUCUAAAGUUAAUAAAAUUAGAUCUUCAGAAAAAAAAAAAAAAAAAAAAAAAAAAAAAAAAAACUGAGCUAGUUUGAGGAGCCAUGUCGGCGAGCUCUCCGGCGCCAUCGAGUGCCGACAACACUUGGUACUNUUUAUGAUUAGAUUUUGUGGGUCACAUCAGAUUUAAAUUGUAAAUUACUUUUAUUAAAGAACAAUUAAUUUGAGGACUAAAAUUUAGACAUUGGUGCACCUGGUUUGGUGUAGCCAAUAAUUUUGCCCUCUCCAUCCAAGGUGGUUAGUAACAUGGCAUUUUUAUGGUGGCGACGUGGCACUGCCAGGGUGUCAUGUCACUGUCAAAUUAGUAUGCACUUGUUGAUUGAGUGAUCACAUCCCAGCCCACUGAAUAUGCUCCUCGCCGGACGAUCCUACAGCUCAUUUGAUGAUAAAAUAUAUUUAAAAUUAUUGAAUUAGUCGUAGGAUGAACGACGAGAUGUAGACGAGCGUGAAAUUGAGUAAUGGCGGGACUGGUUAGCGCGCGUGUGUGUGUGUGUGCAGAAAAAUUAUAUGCAUGCUCUGAAUAGAUUAUCAAAUCAUACUUAGGAGCUGUUUGAAGAUAAAACUUAAGUAGAGAGCUCUCUAAUGGCACUUUGUUGGAAUCCUCGUAUUCACUGUCAUGUGUUAAUUUUGCUUUCACAAAGACAAAAUUAAUAUAUGGCAGCAAAUCCGAGACCCCUCGAUGGAGCUCCAAAAUAAAAUUUUUCUUGCCGUUUAGUACGAGAUUUGUAAUAUUUUUAAAAUAUUAUAUAUUUAAUAUCCAGAAUAGAACUACUUUACUAAUAUUUUUCGCAAUCAUUGAACAUGAGUUAAAUAGUAAUGAUUCGAAUAUUAUCAAAAAAAUAUAUAGAGAAUUAUUGGAACAAAGCCAAACAUGCCAUCACAUUGAUGAUCCAAUCAUAUGAUGGGAUGAUGAACCCAAUAAUAGAACUUGAUUGGAGUGAUUAGGAAAGAUCAAACUAAAAAUUAUAUUAAAAAAAUAUAUAUAUAUUAUAUCAAAUCAAAGUUUGGGGGUUUAGGUGUGAUCCGUCUCAUAGUUUGAAUCCGAGUUGUGCAAUUUAUAGCCCAUAGUUAUUAUUUGAUUCAAAGCUUGCUUGAAUCUCAUAGUGUUUUAAUAGCUACAAUCUUAAAUAAAGUAUUUUGCGUAGAAAAAAGAAAAAAAAAAUGUUUAAAGUUUUUGCUACGUCGAAAAGUAGAAAUAAGAGUACAAGCAUCAAAAACAGAAAUUUGAUGUUUUAUUUGGUAUUGUUGCUAUUUUUUUUUUUUUUUAACUCUGUAAGCAUUACAUUAAUUCUAUAUAAUUUGAUAUAUCGUUGAAUGGACAGUUCUAUUGCUGUCAUAGUUGGUUAGGUUGCUACGUCCCACUCCACUCAAGCAAAAUGACAAUUUUACAAAUCUCUUUGAAUCCCAAAAAGAGCUAUUUCUAAAGUUUUAUUUUUUUAUUAUCAAACAAACAAUUUAGACAUAAAAAUUAGAAUAAACUUUAAAUAUCAUCCCUAUAAUUUUGCACUUUCUCAUGUUAGUACCCUAUAGUUUAAAGUGUAUCAAUUAGUAUUCUGUAGUUUUAUUUUUCUCUUUUCAUCAGCUUCUCAGUUAAUAUUUCGUUAAAUUAUAUACAAAAAAUUUCAGAUACCCUACCUAGAUUUAGCGAAUAUUCACUUUAGUACCUUUUAGUUUUAACUUUAUCACUGAUUCAACAAAAAAAAAUUAGUGGAAUAAAAAAAAAUGAGAAAAAUGAAAACACAGAGUAUUAAAUUGAUACACUUUAAACCACAGGACACUAAAGUGAGAAAGUGCAAAACCACAGGGAUGGUAUUUGAGGUUUUUUCUAAAAAUUAUAAGCAAUUCACGAUUCCAUCUUACAGUAUUUUUUAUGUUAGGAAAUUUAUUUGGAAAAACUAAAAUUACAAUGAAUGGUUGCAUUAUGAUUUAAAAGCAAGUUGUUAAGGAAAUUCAAAUGCAGUAAUUCCACUAAAUACUAACUAAUAGAACCAUGUAUAUCUUACAGCAGAGCCAAACAAACUCUAAACCAUAUUGUAAUGAAAAUAAAAUUAAAAAAAAUAAUAUGCAAACUAAUAAUUUUUUUAAAAAAAAGUAAAGACGUAUCGAACUUACCAGAACUAUGAAUCAUUUUUGAAUCUACUGUCCGACCUUUCAAAUUUUUGAUUUUAUUAUAUUACCUUUUAAUUUGUUUGAUUUGAGUCAGUCGAUAACACUUUAGACUUUAAAAUUUAAGCUAAUUACUUAUUUAUAUUAAUAAAUUUAUAGCUGUAAGAAGUAUGCUAAUUAAAUCUAUAAAAAUAAACGAAGAUGGAUUCAGAUUUUGAAGUUAAAGUAAUCUCGACGGACUCAACUCAAAUAAAUUGAAAAAUUGGAUAGUAAAAUCAAAAUAUUGAAAGAUUUGAUAGUCGGUUCAAAAUAGUCCAUAAUUCAAAUAAGUUCUGUACUUUAUUAUUUUUUUUUAAAAAAAAUGUAAUACAAAGGUCAAACCCUUAACAAAUUAAAAAUGUAUUUUGUGAAGUUUCUCUUCAUUGGGUUGUGCUAAGACUCACCAACCCUGCAGAGUAGAGAUUGAUAUUGGGCCCCACUGAUCUACCAACUAAUUAAUCCCAAAUAACAUCCCAAAUUAAUAAAUUUAAACCCACCAAAAAAAAUAAAAAAAAUGAGAAAUCAAACUUAGCCCUUUGUUUGUUUGAAAUUGUUGCUCUAAUUUUUAAAUUAAAACAUAUAGAAACCCCCUAAACUUUNACGCGAUCCAAAAUUGCUUUAACCGGAAAGGAGGUUGCGUGCAUCUCUUUUGGGCAUUUGAUUUUGACGAAGUAUUCAAAAUUGCCGACAAAAUAAAAAAAAUGAGAAAUCAAACUUAGCCCUUUGUUUGUUUGAAAUUGUUGCUCUAAUUUUUAAAUUAAAACAUAUAGAAACCCCCUAAACUUUAACCCGUUUUUAAUUUGAUUUACACUUUCUAAAUUCAUCAGCUAUUUGAUUUUAGCUUAUUUUGUCGGCAAUUUUGAAUACUUCGUCAAAAUCAAAUGCCCAAAAGAGAUGCACGCAACCUCCUUUCCGGUUAAAGCAAUUUUGGAUCGCGUGUAUUUUUUAUGAGUAUUUGUUUUGGUUUUAAUAUUUUUUUCCAAACUUAUUAAUGGAAUGUACUAAAUCAAAUGACUAGUAAGUAGAAGAGGUGUAAAUUAAAAUUUUUUUUAAAAAAAAUUAGGCGGUCAAUUUAAUAUACCGACAGAAUAAAUUUUUUUUUCUUAUUUUGAUGAUUACCAACUUGUAAGAUAUCUCGGCCAAGUGAUAGAUGACAAUUUAUGUAGAAAAUAAUUUCUAAGAUAAAAAUAAUUAGCUUUCAAAUGUUUAAAUUUUGAAUUUAAAAUUUCGAAUACUGGUUAUUAAAAUUUUUUUAUCACUUACGUUACGAACGGUCUGUUAAUAAGAUUUAUUUUUGGAUAUUGAUUCUGCACAAAUCAAAUGUGCAAGAAAUCCUACACGUCUGCUGAUUUGGCCAGCAAUCCCAAAGUGGAGGAGUGAGAUCUGCCAUUCUGCCAAUGAUUGGGAUGCAUCCUGCACUUCAAAUAAACUGUCAGAUUGCCUGUCUGCACUCCCAUGUAUGGAACACUUCCAAUCUAAGAUUGGCUGAUUUUUUUUUAAAAAAAAAAAAACUCUAGCUAAUUAAUAAAAAGAAAAAACUUCAAAAAAUGCUCCUGUAGUUUCGCACUUUUUUAUUUUCAGUAUCCUAUGAUUUAAAGUGUAUCAAAUUAAUACCCUGUGGUUUCGCACUUUCUCACUUUAGUACCCUGUGGUUUAAAGUGUAUUAAGUUAGUACUCUGUGGUUUUAUUUUUGUAUCAUGUUAGUACCCUGUGGUUUUAUUUUUUUAUCAAGUUAAUACCCUGUGAUUUUAUUUUUUUUAAUAAAAUAUUAAACCACAUGGUACUAAAGUGAGAAAGUGCAAAACCACAUAGUACUAAAGUGAGAAAGUGCGAAACCACAAGAUACUAACUUGAUACACUUUAAAUCCAGGAUACUAAAGUGAGAAAGAGUGAAACCAUAGGAAGGGUAUUUGAAGUUUUUCCUAAUAAAAAGCAUAUAAGCUCUCAUAUAAUUAAGCUAUAGGAUUAAUUACAAUCAAAAGGUGGUUCUAGGAACUGAAAAGGUGAUUAACACAUCCAAGAAUUUAAAUAUUAUUUUACAUUUUUAGUAUGAAAAAAAAGAAUAAAAGUACAACAAAAUUAGUGUAGAAAAGUAUGCCCUUUAAAGGAAUGUAAAAUUUACACUUUUAAGAUGUAGAAAAAGCAUUUCUCAAAUUUCAGUAAACUAGUCCAUGCCACAGUUAAUUAAUUCGCAAAUUAUUGAAAAUUCGAAUAAAACAGUUCGUAAAUAAUUUUGUCUCAAAAAAUUAGAAUAAAACGUAAAUUUUUGGGUUAGAUUUACUAUUCGCAAAUAAUUAGGGUAUGCCAAACUAUUCGGCUAAAAUAACAUGCAAAAUUUUUGAAUAAAAUCUCUUUGUCCAUUAAUUUGAGAAUUAUUGACAACUUACUUGCGAAUUAUUCACGAAUUAUUAAAAAACUUCAUGAAUUUUCGGAAAAUGUGGUCAUGAAAAAGGUGAAAAGUGAGACUCCAAUGAACCUUGCUUCUGCUCUUUUUACUUUACCUACUUUAUUUUGUAACUCCCUUUUUUUUUAUAUUCUUAAGAAUUAUAAUUGUUUAUGCUAGUAGCAAAAAUCUAGAGAAAAAAAUUUAAUUUAAUAGCUGAAUUUUUUAUCCCGAAUUUUUAAUUGGUGAACAUAUAAUUUUCGUUUAAAUCGCGUAUCUGAAUAAUUGACAAAUUCAUCUUUUAAACUGUAUUUUUUUAACUAACUUAAAAAUCAAGAUCCGAAUUUUAUUUAUGUUGUACCCGAUCCGAAUUAACUAGCUAUGUUCCACGCAGCAUGAGUUGUACUUCUCAAUCUAUUACCAUUUCAACACAAAAAGGUGUGGCCUAUUACAGAAAGGGAAAAGGGAAUAAUAGUGUUUGGUCACACAUAACAUUCACUACAUCUCUCUCUCUCUCUCUCUCUCUCUCUCUCUCUCUCUCUCUCUCUCUCUCUCUCUCUCUCUAGAUAAGAUGUGAAAAGUUGAAAAUUAUGUGGAAAAUGAAAGGUCAAGUGUGCCAUCCAAUUAUUAUUUUAUGAAAAUCAGCAUAAAGUAAUUGCAUUGCCUCCUCUUUUAUUAUUAUUAUUAUAAUACUUUCUAAUCACAAUUCGAGUUAUGUACUGUCUAUUUUUCAUCAUCUUAAUAUCACGAAAGAAAAAAAGCAAAAUAAAAUAAAACAAAAAAGAAUUUAUGGACAAACAAUAUUAACUCCUAUUCUCAAACAAUCCUCAUAAACGAAAAGAAUAAAUAAUAAUAAUAAUAAUAAUAAUAAGAAAAAAAAAGGACCUUUUCACACCGCUAAAUCUCCUCAAUUUUAGACUCGAAUCGGGCGAGUUGAUUCUGUACAAUCUUGUGUGUUGAAAAUUUUUAUCCCAAGGCAAACUUGGCAUACCAAUGAAUAUCCAUGUAACAUGCAAUUUUGCAUGUGAGUUAACCUGGAUGCUAGUUCAGCAUCGGUCGCGAAAUACAUUCGAGCCAUAAGUUGGUCAAUCCUUAUGCACACAGGAAUUGCUUACACGUGCGUAGAGAGAUGUCCGACGAACUCUGAUCCCUCAUCCUCCGCCAUCGCCGGCUUUUUUCCCUACCGAGCCUUCGCCUCGGCCUGGCACAAGCGCGGCACGCUCGAGCUCCGCAACCACUAACCGUCAUCGUCGCUCCCGCUGCCCUCGCCCUCACGCACUCGGCGCCGGCUCGGGAUGAGCGCUUUCGGCCGAACUCGUCUCUCACACGCUCCGCUCCGUUCGGGCUCGGCGGCCCCACCCUGCCGGCCACCACCUCCCCCCCCCCCGCCUCUAUCGCCGGCACCGCCAUCUCCACCACGUUCCGUGGCGACCCCAUCGUCGUCUCUACCUCUUCCCCUCCACCGCCGCCACCGCCGCCACAUUCUCGGUGUAUCGCCUUCCUCCCAGUGAUCAGCUCCAGCAGCACAACUCCGAAGCUGUAGACGUCGCUCCUCUCCGUGAGCCGCUGCAUCCGGUAGUACUCCGGGUCCAUGUAGCCCACCGUCCCCGCCGCAGCGGAGGCAACGCCGCCGAUCAUCGGCACGGAGAGCCCGAAGUCGGAGAUCUUCGCCGUCCAAUCCGUGUCCAGCAGUAUGUUCGAGGACUUCACGUCGCGGUGGACCACCGCGGGGACGGCGUAGGAGUGCAGGUACUCCAGGCCCCGCGCCGCGCCGAGCGCCGUGCGGAGCCGCGCCGCCCACGACGAGUAUAUCGGCGAGGGCGGGGACGCGGCGGCGCCGUGGAGGUGGUCGUGGAGGGAGCCGUUGGGCAUGUACUCGAAGACGAGCACGCGCUCGCCGCGCCCGCGGCUGUAGCCGAGGAGCCGCGCCACGUUGCGGUGGCUCAGCCGCGCCAGGAGCCCCAGCUCGGCCCGGAACGCGCGCUCCGACUCCCCCCACCGGCUCCGGCUCCGGCUCCGGCGCGGGGGGGGCGGUGGCGGCCCCGCCGCCGCCGCCGCCGCCGAAGUCGAUCCCCCGUCCUCGGCGCGCUUGACCGCCACCUCGCGCCCGUCGGGGAGGGCCGCGCGGUACACCGCGCCGAAGCUCCCCGCGCCGAUGCGCCGCGCCGCCGCGAACCCCUCCGUCGCGCGCUCCAGCGCCUCUAUCUCGAACUCCUCGCACCCGUACUCCCCCUUCCCGGCCGGCUCCGCCUCGAGCCGGUCGCCGCGACUCCGCCGCCGCCGCCGCUCCCCCGUCCGCGCCGCGUCGUGUACGCGCCGGUCGCAGGUCCCGAAGAAAGCCCCGUAGGCCGCCGCGCCGACCAAGGCGGCGGCGGCGGCGCCGAUCCCCACGAACCCGGCGAUCGCGAACGCGGCGUGCUUCCUCCUCUCCCCGCUCAAGCCGCCCCCUCCCGGGCUAGCCGAGCCCUCGGCGAUCCUGCAGGGCCGGCAAAUCGCGUCCCCGCCGCCGCCGCAGAGGUCGCCGGAGCCGGCCAGGACGCCGCAGGCGCACGCGCGCUGGGGCGCGCACGGCCCCGGCGCGACGCGGUCGAAGACGACGCGCCCGCCCGGCCCGAAGAGCCCGCCCCAGCACACCGCCGAGUAGUUGGCCAGGAGCACGCCGCACACGGCGCCGCCGCGGGCCUCGAUGGCCGCGAACUCGGCGCCCGCGAGGGCGCUAGGCACCGCGGCGGCGCCGCCCCAGCAGCGCACGGCGCCGCUCUCGGCGAGGGCGCACGUGCGGUCGUCGCCGAGCGCGAGGGCGGCGAUGUCGGCUGGGGGGUCGUCGUCGUCGUCGUCGUCGUCGGGGAGGUCGGGCGGCGCGCCCGCGCCCCAGCAGGCGAGGCGGCCGGGCCGCAGGGCGACCGCGCACGCGUGGCGCGCGCCCGCGGCGAGGGCGCCGAAGCGGCCGGGGGGGGCGUUGGCGACGACGGCGAAGUCGGUCCCGAAGCAGCGGAUGGAGGCGUCGGCGCGGAGGAUGCCGCAGAGGAAGUCCGUGCCGACGGCGACGUGGGUGAAGGAGAGGCGCGGGGGGACGCGGAGGUCCGGCCAGCGCCAGCAGGCGGGGGCGCCGAGGACGAUGCCGCAGACGUGGGAGUCGCCGGCGGAGAGGGCGCGGAGCGGGGGCCCGCGGUAGACGCGCUUCCCGGUUGUGCCGCGGUCCGGCCCGGAGAAGGACCACCAGCGCAUGGUGUCGACGGAGUCGGAGAGGGAGAUGGCGCAGAGGAAGCCGUCCCCGGCGGCGACGGCGGAGAAGGGGGAGGAGGAGGAGGAGGAGGUAGGUCUUGGUGGCGGCGGCGGGGAAGCUGGAGCAGGUCAGGGUCGGGAGGAGGAGGAGGGGGGGAGCUGGAGGAGGAGGAGGGCGCAGACGAGGGUGGUGUUGGGCCGGCGGGAGAUGGCGAGGGUGGAGAAGGGGGCGAGGAGGAGGCGGCAGCGGAAGGGAUGAAAGAGACGAGGAGGAAGAAGAACAACAAGCGUGAAUGGCGGUUACCAGUGUUUUUGAGAGGAGGAGGAGGCAUGGUGGGGGUGCAGAGUUGAUGGCCUGUGCAGCAGAGGAGGAGGAGGAGGAGGAGGAGAGGAGUAUUUCAUGGUAUAUAGAGAGAGAGAGACAGAGAGACUAAUUAACUACAUACUCACUACUACUGCUCGCUCUGCUGCUAACACUAACUACUACUACUACGGACGUGGUUUUUAUAUAAUAUUGAGGGAGAUCGAUGGAGAAUUAAGGUGGUGGGGGAACACGCGCGCCAAUGGAAAGACUAGCUCGAUUUGCCACUUUGAAAUAAUCCUUAAUUAGCAAAUAAGCCAGGUCUCGCUAGCUAGUUCUCUCUACAAACUCUCUUUAAUAACUUAAUUUCUGUGCACACUCAAACUCGUUCUCCAGCCCGAUUAAUUGAGAGUAAUAAUUCUGGAACUUCGCUGCUCCUCGCGAACAGCGCGUGUGGUGGACCAUGACAUUUAUAUUAAUUAAUCCUAAUCUAUAUAUAUAUAUAUAUAUAUGGCAGAAGAUAACUAGGUACUUUGCUCUCAAACUAGCGACAUAUAUGUGCUCUAAACUAGUUAAGACAAUUAUCUCACCAAUGCCAUGUAUGUUUAAUCUCAUCAUCUUUAAAACAAAAGGUAAAAAAAUCUAUGUACGUAUUACGGACAUUUCCAUAAGCUUCGUGUGAUGCAGCUUCCAAAUCGACGAUCGGCUCCGUUAGACUUGAUCUACACUAUUGAAAGUAUUUGAAAACUAAAUUUCAUAAAUUUUCGGCAUCAUUUACCUAUCAAACGAGUAGUCUAAAAAUGAACGGCUGAAAAUAAAAAUCUCUUAAAAAAUGAUGUUGAAAAAUUAUGAAAUUUAGUUUCCAAAUACUUUUAAUACGGAGGCGUUCAUGCUACCGAUAGUAUACCAGCUUAACUCUAUAUAUAUAUAUAUAUAUGUAUUUAUAUAUAUAGAGGAGAGAGAGAGAUGUCGAGAGAUGAGAGAGAGAGAGGAGAGAUAGAGGCUAGAGAGAGCGGAGAGAGAGAGAGAGUGGCUGGUAUGGAUUAUGGAAGACGGAGCCCUCGUGCUUCCAAGUGUUUUCGAUGUUUUUCGACUUUCGACAUACAACGAUCGGCUCUGUUUAGAGCUUGAUCUAGAGUUAUUUGAAAAUACCUAAAAUAAAAAUUUUGUGAUUUUUCGAUAUCAUUGUGCUAGUGAUCAAAGGGCUCAAAAUCAAUAAUUUAAGGCCGUGGUUGAGCGGUUGCAAGUUUAACGCGUGUAGAAAUAUCCAAAUCCAUGUAAUUUUUUCUGAUAGAAAAUUCUUAUUACCAGUUAUAAAACAAGAUUAUAACUUUGAUCUAAAAUUUUAUGGGUCAUAUCAUCAUUUUUGUAAAUGUUAUUUUCAAGCACGUUUUGAUUUUGAGCCCCUUUGAUCACUAGGCAAAUGAUAUCGAAAAAUCACAAAAUUUAUUUUCUAGAUACUUCAAAUACUCUAGAUCAAGUCUAACGGAGCCGAUCGUCAAUUCGAAAGUUCGAACAUCGAAAACAAAGUGGAAGCACGGAGCCCUCCGUGCUUCCAUAAGCAUCCUAGCCGCACUCUAUAUAUAUAUAUAUAAAAUAAUAAAUAUUUUAGUUUUUUUUAUCGAUGCAUACAAAUUUUUUUAAUUCUAUAAAAAAAAUUAUGUAUGGUGAGAAAAAAAUUUCUUAAAAUAUAUGAACUAUCAACAAAAAUUUUACUAACUUUUAUUCGUAUGAGAAAUAUAAAAUAUUAUAAAAAUAUUUUAUCCAAAUUAAUAUUUUAUAUAUAAUAAAUAUAUAUUAUUAUAUUAAUAAUAUUAUAUUUUAUUAGUGAUGUUCGUAUCGUAAUUUUUUGAAAACUGUCAAGUUGCCAUGCAUGUCCGAGUCGUGUCGUAUCUCGCAGCAUCCAUAAUACCUAGAUAAAAAUAAAAUGAAAAAAUAUAUAUUAGUAAAUUCUUGAGUCAUUAUAAAUGAGGUUGUAGAUAUUACAAUCUCUUUUUGGUUAUAAGCGUAUUCUCACAUUAUUUUAACGUAUGAACAAUCUUUUUUUUUUUGAGAGAGAUAUGUAGCACGCUACCCGUUUCGUUUAUUUUAUUUAGAAAUAAACUUAGCUGAAAAUGUGAAUCAAUUAGGAUUCGAACUUGGGUCUCGGGUACCAACCACCAAGCCCUUUGCCACUUGUUGUAGGGACGGUUGGUUAUUCAAUACAUCUUUUUUAUUUAAAUUCACGCAGUACUACUUUUGUAGUGUUUUGCUGGUCUAAACUAUCUGUAACGACCCAACCCGAAAAUUCAUAAGAUUUUGAGUUUAAAUUUUAAGUUUGAUAUUUAUAAAUGUAUUUAAACUUUAGAGUUUAAAUUUUGGUUUUGAAGAUAGAAUUUUAAUUCUAGCUGGUGAUGAAAGCUUUUCACCUUCUUCUCGGACAAUUUCUCUUCUCUCUCUCUCUCUCCACUAAAACCAAGCUGUCAAUGGAGGAGAAGUUUGAUUAUGAAAGCUACUCCCAUCAUCAGUGUUCAACUUGAAAUCAGCUUCGCCAUUUUGAUUUGACCUCAAAUUAGGGGUUAAGGUCUCUUCAUCUUUGAAGGAUCUUGGCUCUUGGUGGAGAGCAUAGAAAGAUACAAUUAAUUUAUUUAAAACAUACAUAAGCGUUCACGAGUUUCAAUUGUGACUCGGCCUAAUCAGCCUCCCGCCACUUCGAACACGACUCAACCUAAUCCGACCUCCCAUCAUUUCGAACGUAAUUCAGUCUGGCCAGAUCUUUUGUCAUAGGACAAAAUGAUGACCCCUGUAAGUCAACAUGUUCAAACUCUUUAUUUUCAAUGUUAGAUUUGAUACUUUUAUAAUGUUUAUUUAAUUUGUGUUUCUAUUUGAUUUCAAAUUUUAUUUCAUUUAGAAUUUGAUUUGAGAGAGUUUGGAUAAAACACUGGAAUCAUCAACUGAACUGUUGGCCCUGUCUGAACAGCAGAUCCACUGCCAAGUACAACAAGAGUCAACCACCCUUGAGAUGAGGGUUGACCGUUGGAGGCUACAGUAAACCCACCAAAAUUUAAAUUUUUGAAAUUUUGGAUUCUUUUAGGAUUGGUCUUAAUUGACUUUUAUGGUGCGAGUUUUAACUAGUAUUUUCACUUGGAUUACCACUUUAUUUUAUUCGAUUUUGGUUUGGUCAAGUUCGGACUCACGCAUGCAGUUCUAGUUAGUGUAGAGUCGACCGACCGACCGACAACAUGCCGUCGACCAAAAUGGAACACUGACAGAAUUCUAGCUUCGGAUUUUCUAAACUACCGUUUGGUUCGGAAUCAAGAAAAAACUAGUUAUUCCAGAAAUAGAGUUAAGUUCAGGAUAAAGGUGGGGUUAAAGUAUUUUUGUGUUUGGUUGAGAAUUGGAGUUAGUCCAGGAUUCAAAAAACAUAGUAUUUAGUUGAAGUAGGUGGGAUAAGAAGAAUAGUGGAUAAAAUAGUGUUUUGUUUGCUUGGAGUAGUGGGGUGGGAUGGGGUUAGCUAUGGUUAGCUAACCCCACCCCAAAUAGGCUAACUCGGGUUUGCUCAUUUGGAGUGUGGUUAGCUAAUCCCACCACCCUAAAAUUAUGUUUGAGAAUAAAAUCGGGGUUAGAGAGUUAUCCCAUCCCUUAACUCCGAACCAAACACAAGCUAAAGGUCGAUCGGCAGCAGCCAUGACCGGUCAAUCGACUAGUUUAUAGUCGAUCAUAUGAUAUGAGAAAAGAAUUUUGAUUGAAAAUAUAAGAGGCCUCACAUUUUAGUGAUGACUAAAUUUAAAUAUUUCGGACCAGUAAUUUAGACCUAACGAAUUAUUUUAGUUAGCAGGUCGAAUCACUACAGUUAGUAUUAGAGUCGAAUACCAACCGGAAGUGUGAGCCGAAUACAGUUAGGAUUUUGGUGUUUCAAUAAUUAUUUUGUUUCCUAUAUAAAAGUCUUGCAUAUAUAUAUAUAUAUAUAUAUAUAUAUAUAUAUAUAAACUUAAUAUAUAGUGCGUCUGGUAUAGCUUAUGGUAAGCAUAUGCGACGCUCCGUGCUUCCACUUGUUUCGUAUGUUCGGACUUUCGAAUCGACGAUCGGCUCCGUUAGACUUGUAUCUAAAUAUUUGAUAUCCUAGAAAAAUAAUUUGCGAAUUUUCGAUAUCAUUUGCCUAGUGACUAAGUGGCUCAAAAUUACACGGCUGAAAAUAAAAAUCUUACAAAAUAUGAUGAUAUGACAUUAAAAUUUAGAUCAAAGUCUAAUUAAUCUUGCUUAUUAUAUGGAUAAGAAUUUUUUAUCAAAAUUUUCAUGCGAUUGGGAUAUUCACACCGUAAAACUUGGCGACCUCCGGUCUACAGCCACGCGCCAUUAAAUUAUAUUUGAACCCCGUCAUUCACUAGGCAAAUGAUAUCGAAAAAUCGCAAAAUUUAUUUUCUAGGUACUUCAAAUACUCUAGAUCAACUCUAACGGAGCCGAUCGUCGAUUUGAAAGUCCGAACAUCGAAAACAAAGUGGAAGCACGGAGGGCUCCGUGCUUCCAUAAGCAUACCAACCUACUCUAUAUAUAUAUACUAGUCAUAUGCACGUGCAAUGCACCUGAGACUUAUUUGAAAAUAUCAAAUAAUUUUUUUCUAAAAUAUAUAUUCAUUUAAAGUUAUUAAUGAAAUUGAAGUAUAGACUAACUAUACUACUAUUCCCCAAUUAUUACUGUUCAAAUUAAUUGGACUUAAUUUGGACAAAGAUUUUAAUAUUUUUUACACCCUAAAAACAAUAUAUAUACACAAAUUGAUUUGAAGAAUAUCGUAAAAAUAGUAAUACAAUUUUAGAAGAAUUUUGAAUCCUAUCGCUCAUAUUUUGAAAAGUUUUUGCAUGUUUUAUACACUAUAUAUAUUUUAUAUUUGAUAAACGUAUAGGUAAAAAUAAAUAAAUAUAAAAAAAUAUGCUAAAAUAGUAUAAAUGCACAUUAAAAAAAUAAAAAUUUUCAGGUGAGAUCAAAAUACCUCUCUAACUAUGACAAAGGUGGCGAAAAUGACAAUGUGCUGGUGUUGACGAUAACAAUAUGCUACGAUGUACUGGUGCUAGCGAUGGGGAUAUAUGAAAAAUAUUUCAGAAAAAUAUAGGUGAAAAUAAAAAAGAUGUUACUAAAAAAAUAUGUCUUCUAAAAAAUAUAUUCUGUGUGUGAAUAAAUAUUAUGAUGAGAUAAAGAUUGGAUAGUGUAGAUAUUAUAUGCAAAGAUAUGUAGAUAUUAUAUGCAAGUGCAUUAAAACAUGUUCUAUAUUUGAGAAAUGCAUAAGAUAUUUUGGCGGGUAUUACUUUUGAAUAUUUUACUAAAAAAAAUUUAAAAAUAUAAAAUUAUAUUUAAUUAAUAAUUUAGUUUUGUUUAGGUGGGUAUUAAAUCUUUUUAGUAAUAUUUUACGUGAUUGGCCCAAGUAUUACGAAUGAGAAAGAAAAUAUUUGAAAAACACGUAAAUAAGAGAUAACGGAUAUUUUAAUUUAUGACGCGUUUGAGAAAACGUGUGUGAGAAACAAAAUAUUUAAGGUACCCCGUAGAUAUGAUAUAACGGAUAUUUUAAGUUAUAACGGGAAUUACGUUUGAGAAAAUGCGUAGAUAUUUGUAAAAUGCGUAGAUAGGAAAUAACGGAUAUUGAGGGUAUUUUUGUCAAGAAAAGUGACAGAUACUUUUAUUUUUAAUCGUUGGAUGAGAUCCAAUGGUAAAAAUUUAAGAUCUAUAUUUGAGAAUAAAUUAUUAUUUGAAAAAUUAUUUGAAACNAUAUCAAGUUAGUACCCUAUAAUUUUUUAAACCACAUGGUACUAAAGUGAGAAAGUGCGAAACUAUAUGGUACUAACUUGAUACACUAUAAACUACAGAAUACUAAAGUGAAAAAGUACAAAACCACUGGGUAUUAAUUUGAUACACUUUAAACCAUAUGGUACUAAAAUGAGAAAAAGUGAAAUCACAAUAGGGGUAUUUGAAGUUUUCCCUCGAUAUUAUAAUGCAGAGAGUUUUUAUAGUGUUAUGGCCAAAAUUUGGUUUGAACCGGCCGCAUUUUCAUAUAUAUAAAUUAAAUUAGAAACUUAUAUAUAUACAUAUAGAUCUAGAGAGAGAGAGAACGAGAGUGAGAGAGAGAACUAGGCUCCUAUAUAUACUUUCGAAAGUAUGGAGGCCUUCGUACUUGUAAGUUGUUUUCGAUGAUGAAGCAUUCGAUUUAACGAUCGGCUUCGUUAGACAUGAUUUAUAUAUAUUAUUGGAACUAUUUAGAAAUCAAAUUUCAUAAUUUUUUGACUUCAUUUGCCUAGUGAACGAGUAGGCUCAAAAUGAACAGUUGAAACUAAGAAUCUUACAAAAAAUAGUGUUGAAAGACGUAAGUUUAAAAUUGAAAGUAUUGUUCUUACUCUUGAUGUUAAAUAGAAUUUUCUAUUAUAGAAUGCGGCGGAAGUAUUAGUUCGUUCGUACCUUUUUCAGAAGUGAUUCGCGUUACAACUCGAUAAGCCCGGAUCGUCGAGGUUGAUUCACGUGUCCUUUGAUCGUCCUUGAUUAAAUCUUCUCACGUCCCAAACUCGCGAUGGAUCAAACUACAAACGAGCACGAUCACAAAUCCACCGUUCAAGUCCCUCUUAGAAUAAUAGGUUGAUGGAGGAUGUGGUUUCUCUCUUUCGUUUUCUUAUUCUUGCUUUUUUUUCCGUUCUCGUUCCAUUUGUUAUGUGGGAUCGCCCGCAUAUUUAUAAAGGAUUCCAAAAUCCUAAUAGCGUUAGAGAUAAGGUCAAAUCGGUUAUCAAUUGUUAUCCUAAUAUGACUAGGAUUUAUCUCUAAUUAGCUUUUCAAUUUGAAAGCGAAAUUAAUUCAAAUCCAAUUAGAUAACAUAAUAUCCGUCGGAUCGAACCCGCUUAUGGGCGUACCCGAUUCGAUUUAACCGAAUGCCAACAUCUAUUAAAGUUUCAUAUAACUUGAAUUCUUCUACACUUUUGAACUUUCAAACGUGCUACAUCGGCCGUUAAAUUUAGCCAUUUUUGAAACUCUUUGAUCACUUGGUAAAUGAUGCCAAAAUAUUAUGAAAUUUGGUUUUUAAAUAAUUCUAAUAGCGUAAAUCAUGCCUAACAGAGCCGAUCGCCGAAUCGGAUGCUCCAUCAUAAAAAACAACUUACAAAUACGGAAGUCUUCGUACUUUCGAAAAUAUAGGAGACGUACUCUCUCUCUCUCUCUCUCUCUCUCUCUCUCUCUCUCUCUAUAUAUAUAUAUAUAUAUAUAUAGAGAGAGAGAGAGAGAGAGAGAGAGAGAGAGAGAGAGAGUACGUCUCCUAUAUUUUCGAAAGUACGAAGACUUCCGUAUUUGUAAGUUGUUUUUUAUGAUGGAGCAUCCGAUUCGGCGAUCGGCUCUGUUAGGCAUGAUUUACGCUAUUAGAAUUAUUUAAAAACCAAAUUUCAUAAUAUUUUGGCAUCAUUUACCAAGUGAUCAAAGAGUUUCAAAAAUGGCUAAAUUUAACGGCCGAUGUAGCACGUUUGAAAGUUCAAAAGUGUAGAAGAAUUCAAGUUAUAUGAAACUUUAAUAGAUGUUGGCAUUCGGUUAAAUCGAAUCGGGUACGCCCAUAAGCGGGUUCGAUCCGACGGAUAUUAUGUUAUCUAAUUGGAUUUGAAUUAAUUUCGCUUUCAAAUUGAAAAGCUAAUUAGAGAUAAAUCCUAGUCAUAUUAGGAUAACAAUUGAUAACCGAUUUGACCUUAUCUCUAACGCUAUUAGGAUUUUGGAAUCCUUUAUAAAUAUGCGGGCGAUCCCACAUAACAAAUGGAACGAGAACGGAAAAAAAAGCAAGAAUAAGAAAACGAAAGAGAGAAACCACAUCCUCCAUCAACCUAUUAUUCUAAGAGGGACUUGAACGGUGGAUUUGUGAUCGUGCUCGUUUGUAGUUUGAUCCAUCGCGAGUUUGGGACGUGAGAAGAUUUAAUCAAGGACGAUCAAAGGACACGUGAAUCAACCUCGACGAUCCGGGCUUAUCGAGUUGUAACGCGAAUCACUUCUGAAAAAGGUACGAACGAACUAAUACUUCCGCCGCAUUCUAUAAUAGAAAAUUCUAUUUAACAUCAAGAGUAAGAACAAUACUUUCAAUUUUAAACUUACGUCUUUCAACACUAUUUUUUGUAAGAUUCUUAGUUUCAACUGUUCAUUUUGAGCCUACUCGUUCACUAGGCAAAUGAAGUCAAAAAAUUAUGAAAUUUGAUUUCUAAAUAGUUCCAAUAAUAUAUAUAAAUCAUGUCUAACGAAGCCGAUCGUUAAAUCGAAUGCUUCAUCAUCGAAAACAACUUACAAGUACGAAGGCCUCCAUACUUUCGAAAGUAUAUAUAGGAGCCUAGUUCUCUCUCUCACUCUCGUUCUCUCUCUCUCUAGAUCUAUAUGUAUAUAUAUAAGUUUCUAAUUUAAUUUAUAUAUAUGAAAAUGCGGCCGGUUCAAACCAAAUUUUGGCCAUAACACUAUAAAAACUCUCUGCAUUAUAAUAUCGAGGGAAAACUUCAAAUACCCCUAUUGUGAUUUCACUUUUUCUCAUUUUAGUACCAUAUGGUUUAAAGUGUAUCAAAUUAAUACCCAGUGGUUUUGUACUUUUUCACUUUAGUAUUCUGUAGUUUAUAGUGUAUCAAGUUAGUACCAUAUAGUUUCGCACUUUCUCACUUUAGUACCAUGUGGUUUAAAAAAUUAUAGGGUACUAACUUGAUAUAAAAAUAAAACCAUAGGAUACUAAUUUGAUAUAAAAAUAAAACCACAGAGUACUAACUUGAUACAAAAAUAAAACUACAGAGUACUAACUUGAUACACUUUAAACCACAGGGUACUAAAGUGAGAAAGUGCGAAACCACAUGGUACUAACUUGAUACACUUUAAACCAUAGGAUACUAAAAUGAAAAAGUACGAAAUCAUAUGGGGGAUUUUUGAAGUUUUCCCUAAUAUCAAUAUAUCCAUAAUUUAUAAGGGCGACAUUGUUGGGCACUUGUAAUUACACUCAAAGAAAGAUCCUUUUAGUCUCCAUUUUUUACUUAAAUGUUAAGAUUUUAAAAAGAUUGAAAAUUUUACAUAUGUCAUUCCCUUACAGAGAGAGAGAGAGAGAGAACAAAUUUAUGAGCGUUUCGAAGUAUUAUCAUGCAAUUAACCCAGCAGAUUUGUUAUUAAAAUUAUAUGAAUAUAAAAAUAUCACUUUUUAGCAGCUUUAAUUUUUAAAGAAUAAUAAUUAUUUCAGAUGAUUUAUCCGAGUACAAAGUUUUCUUUAAGCUUUCAGGAACAAGGACAUAUUUCAUAUAUAAUCACAAAUCAGAAAACAUUUCUCUUUGCAAAUCAAAUAAGGAAAAAUGUCUAGAGAAUAGUUUCAUAGCAUGCAAAUAAACAAAUUUCUCAAGCGGAAACAAUAUAUGCAAUCGCACACGACAAAAAAAUCAAAAUACUGGUUAAUCAAAGGGAAAUUUUCGAUUCCCAAAAUUUUAGCGCAUCUUACUUUGUCAUCAUGUCAUUUAAAAGAAUUUUACUUUAUUAUUCUAUAUAUCUUUUUCUUUAUAUCAAGUGAGGUACUACAGUACUACAAUUUGUAGACCGCAAAUUAAUGGAGUAAUAUAUUUUUCACACAUUAUCUUACUAAUCUAUAUUAUCAUUUUACCAUCCUAUAGUUUGUAAAAUAUAUUACUUAACUAUUUUUUUGGUUAUAAAUUUUAACCCUUUAGUAUCCGACCCGAUGACAGGUUAUUACAGUAAAAUAAGAAUAAAAUUACGGAAUAUCAAAGUAAAGUAUUUCAAACUCCGCGGUAGAGAACUGAAGAUGCGGUAAACCUCAAGGAUUUAUUUUUCAAUCAUUUCUCUGAGUCAUUUUUGGUCUUAAUCGUUUUUCAAAUCACUUCUACUGUAGAGGAAAUAAAAGGAGUAGAACAUUUCAACCCUUGGUGGUUAAUAAGGUGUGAUUAAUGUGAAAUGCAGUGUGUGUGUGCGUGCUUGAUGUGGUGGUAAUUACUUAGUCAAAAAAAAAAAAAAAGUGUUAGGUGAGCACACUAUGUCCAAGGUAGAGUUAGAUGGAGACAACAAAUAAUUAAGAAAUAAGAGAACAUGUUAAUUUCUAUAGUUGGUUUUGUGCAUGUAAUUAAGAAGCGACGUAUAAUUUGGCCAACACUUUAAUACCACAUUUUAUUUUUUGCAUUAACAAUAGCAUGAAUAAUAGAGCAGAACUUUUAAAUUCUAAAAUAGACUUUUUGCGAGGUUUUAAGUUCAGAAAAAAGGAGGCGUGAUAUAUACUGGAAAUCAGAAUUUAUUCCUCUGGAUGUAUUUUUGUAACAUUCGAAAAAAAUUGUAUGUUAAAAUCGUAAUUUCUGGGUAACUAUUUCUCAUGGAUCAAACAAAAUUCUUUUUGAGGAUUACUUGUUGCGAAGGUUAUUUCCAAGCAUAUGGUUUUUCACACAUAGAUUCUUAAAUGUUCUAGAACAUCUAAUCUCUUCAGUUUUAGAAUAUAAGAUACAUAUAAUCAUUGGUGUAAAUCUUACGCCUCUGCCCUCUUAGAGUUCAUAAAAAUUCAAAUGAAUUUUCAAUAAAUAAAAUAAUAAUAAUAUUAGUGGGAAAGAAGAUAAGGAUAAAACUUCAGUGACAAGCUCCCCAACGAUGCCUUGUUGGGCUCGAUCCUCUAUCAUGUAUUAAUUUUGCUUUCAUCCAAGAGUCUGUGGGUGUUCUUUAGCACUACUCAAAAAAAAAAAAUUUAAAUUCUAAAGAAACGUAUUAUAACCUUUAGAUAGAGAUAAAACUGACACAUAAAACGAGACAUUGUUGGAAAGCUCCCUACAAAAGUUUUUUUUUUCAAAAAUAAAAGCUCUUGAUUGAGUGGGGUGUAAAAUCUACACCUACUCUAAAGAGUGUACAGACAGUAUUGCUAAUUUAUAGCUAGGGGGAGACGAGUAAUACGGUGCACCUACACCUGGUGCAGGCAACAAUUUGUCCAGGUCAUGUUGGCCAAAACAUAAAAAAAGAAAAAAGAAAAAAAAAAGCUUUCUUGUGAUGGUUCACCAUUGCUUCUCACUAAAGAAAAUUCUACUUUGAACCUAAUUAUAAUGGAUGAGCUACACAGCAAGUAGUUACUGAGGAAUUUGCUUAUCAAUCAAAUCAUCAUAAUUAAAAUAACAAUCAAAGGCCUUGUCCGGUGGUUGUUAUCUGAAUUGCUGUUCUAGAGAUUGAAAUUCAAUCUUCUUUUGUGAUUACACCAGAAAACGAAAACAAAACCAAAAAAGGAAAACCGCAACACCGACUGGUGGUUGUUAUUUGAAUUGCUGUUCUAGAGAUUGAAAUUCAAUCUUCUUCUGUGAUUACACCAGAAAACGAAAACAAAACCAAAAAAGAAAAACCGCACCACCGACUUCGUAGAUAUUAGAAUAAUACAUGAACUAAGGAUAGUCCAGGAUAGCCAAAAAAUCAUAAAGAAAAUAAUAAAAGGAAAAAGUGCAGAAAUCCCUUCAAGUUAUUUAGCUCUUUUACAAACUUUCGAGCUUUUAUUUCCGAAAUUAGAUCGAUCUCUCUCUCUCUAGUUUAAAUUAUUAAUUACACAACCAGAUUUGAUCGCAUGACUCGUAUAAUCUCACAAAGCUUUAAAACACAAGAUAACCAAUGGCACCACCAAAAGAAUCCCAAAACACAAAUUCAAUGAGGUAAGGAAUAUCUACAAAAUGUCCAAAAAGGAACAAAAAUCAAAAUAGAACUUGUAUGAUACAGGAUUCUCUAUUGUUUCAUUAGUGUUGCUACAGCAGCAUGGAUGGGGCUUUCUCGAACCGCAACGGGGCGCCGGGCUAACGAGUGCGGUCCUCUCCACAGGGAAUUAGGGUUGCUCGGGAAAAGGCUCGCGCAUAACUUCAAUACCAUGUGAUUUUCCUGCUGCGCGAUAUUUUCUUCGGUUUUCACCUGCUCAGCCCUUUCAGCAGCUUCCUGCAGACAAUAACGCACCACAUGGUAAGUACAUAAUCUCUCUCUAGGGCAGCAUAUAUAUUGAAAAGGGCCAUUUUGCAAGACGAAUCCAUCUAUUUUUUUUUCGAUUCGCGAUUUUGAUCCACUUUUUUUGGUUCUUCGAAAAUGUUCGUAAUGGGAAUCAAUGAUGUAUCUAUUCAUUACAAUGAGCGUCGGGGGAAUCCAAAUCCGUCAAAGUCCGACUACCAUCCGAAAUUGCAAAUAAAAACAAGGGGAUCCAAAUACAUAAAGACCAAAAAAAAUGGUGGUAAAAAUAGUCCCAUCCCUAGAGAAUUAUACAUAUAACCAAAAUAAAAUGAUAUCAAAAAAAAUAUGUAGAGACAAUCAAGUGUGGCCAUGUUUGUUACCUCGUGCGGGUGAUCAGAGACUAAAUCCUCCUUUUGCUGAGUGGAUGUAAUAUUCUCCAGCUCAUUUUGAUCUUUGUAUUCGUCUUCAUCAUCGGAAGGUUGGUUUGAAUCAUCAGUUCCAUCCUCAUCGCGUGGCAAUUCCGACGGUUGAUUAUUUACACAAAUUUCCAGAUGAUCAACUUCCAUCUGAUUUUCGGUGACCUCGGGCUGAUCUGUUCGGGAAACAUGGAUCUGCUCGAAAUUUUCCAUUUUUUCCUCAUUUUCAGCAUCCUCCGUCUCGCCAUUGGCAUUGGGCUCUGGUGAAUGGUCCGAGCUCGAGGUUCCAUCAUCGCUACCAGGGUUAUCGGCGGGAGAGCUUUCCUGAAAUCACGUCAAAAAAAAAAUGAUAAAAAUAAGUUGCAAUCUACAGGGCAGUAGCUAAACAAAUAUUUAAGAAAGUAAAAGAAACGGAAAAGAAAAAGAAAAAAAAAUGGAACCAACCUCUAGUUUAAACUGCUGCGAAAGAUUACCAACAGUUAUAGCCAUCUCAUUCUCAACCACUGCAGAGUUCUCUUCACGUUCCUUCCUGCGACGCCUUACAACACAAACAGCGCACAAGCAGUCGCCUUUAUGGAGAUCAAUCCUGCGCCAACAUAUGUUAUAUCAAAAUUCUAAUGAAAAAUGGUAAUACAUUUUGUUUUAUAAUAAAAUGUAGGAUAGUAUACUUGCAGAGUCUCAAAAUUGUAACUCAGUCGAUUAGUCCCUGAAAUUUCUACAUAAACACUUCAGAACCUUCAGUCAAAAAACUAAAGUUCACCUAGGAUUCUUUUAAUUCAAAAAGUUUUGGUUAAGGCAUUCAGAUUAUCUGAGAAGUUGCUUCAGUUAAACAGAUUUAGCACAUCAAAUUAACCUUCAAAGGUCCCAGAUUUGCUAUACACUGUACUAAGAAAACCAUACAUUUGUUAUAGAGUGUACCGUACUACCAUGCAAGUUGAAAAGACCAACAACAACAAGAACAACAAAAUCUUUUCUUAUUACUGUCAUCUUCUUAAUCAAUUCCAUUUUCUAUGUUUUGAACUCUUCUUUUCUUAUAUCUUACCUUAUCAAUUUUCCUUGUUCACUUCAUUACGAUGCCGAAAGGGACAAAAAUGUAUGCAGUAUCAAUAAAGCCAGUAAUCACUUAGCAGCUUCUCAAUUCUUUGGGUGUCUUUAGAAAUAUAAAAGAAUACAUAUUCAAUCUCAAAUAGGGGGAAAAAGAACACAAAGUAGAAAAUUUAGUUACCCAUACCGUCGACGUUUGCGCUUUGACUUGCCUUUCUGAUGCACCUUUUCCUGACCAGAUCGAGAAAUUUCCUGAACCUCACUGUUCUCAGCAGCACCUACAAAAAGGAAUGAAGUGUUUUCCAUUUGCACCUUUGGGGUAAGAUUCAAACCAAUAUGAAAUAAAAUAAAACUAAAGAAGAGCAAAAAUGAAGGCAUGAUAAAUAGAUCAUUGCAAAAGGGCCUUGAACUUCGGAGUGCACCAAUAACUGACUGGAAUGGUACGAAUAACAUAUCAUAUGGGAAACUGGCGGAUAAAUUUGAAAUUUGAACGCUAUCGAAACUAAAUUUAUAUUGAGAAAUUUUUGUGAAUCAUCCCACAAUUGGAUAAAAUCAUAUCACGUGCACAAAAGAUGAUCCUUUGUCAUGUUGCCAACUUUGUUGGUAAAAUGCAGUAGAUGAUCCACACAAAUCAUAUUUCUCUCUCCUCAUCUACCUAUCUUUUCUCCACUCUAAAUUUCAAAAUACUUAUUGUGCCUUAUAUCCCAAUCAAAAUUCUGUGAUGUUUUGGCAGUAAAAAAAUAUGAGAUGAAACAUGUACAACAUAACACGAACAAACAACGAUCUACAAAAAGUGAGACAAAUCCCAUUUACUUUAUUGCUUCAAGUUCUCGACUAAAUUUCAUGUAGUUUCAAAAACAAAAAAAAAAGAGACUAAAAUCACACCUAGAGAAAGAAAAAGCCAUGAAACUUGAUCUUACAAUCUAUACAAGGAAUCGAAAAAGACAAUCUAAAAUUCAAUUAAUAACAUUGAGUUAUAGAAUAAGCACGUAACAGUAUAAGUACCUACAUAACAUUACAGUCAGCAAUUGCCUAAUACUUACUAUUAUCUGGCACUUCGGAAUACAAGCCUGCUGCUGACCAAUACUUCAUGAAAUUCUUCUUCACUCGUUUCAUGAGAUCCACAAUAUAAUCACCUUUAUUAUUAUACUUGUAACAGUUCUCCCAUAUAAACUGCACAUCCUUGUAAACAUCUUCUGAGUUCAUAUAUUUGCGACCGUUUUCUAAAUCAUUACAUAUGGUUCCAAAAUCCAUAGGAGUGUCAAUAAUGUCAAAAUAAUCCUGGAAAAGAGAAGUCAGAUAUUGGUCAAAGUACAGCAUAUAACUUUAUAUUGAACUUAAUUUAUUCUGUAAAGAUCAACCACGAAUGAGAACCAUGCAGUGGAAAUCUAAUAUAACAAAUAAAAAGUUACAUGCACAACCAACUGAAUAGAAAGGCUACAAACCCUUUUCGACAAGAACAUAUAUUAGUGAUAGAAAACAAAUAGCGAACACCAAAUUUACGUAUCUAUCCAUAAAUCAGACCCGUCUUUAAUACUCCAACAUUAGGUGAAGUAGUGAAAAAUUCAGUAAUAUAGAAUUUUAAUUUAGCAGAGCAAACAGUCAUAUGAAUGUUUAUUCAUCAUUAGCUUUCCAAACCGUAUUCUGUACACCUAUGUCAUGCAGAAAAAAACCAAAAAAACAAAAAGACAAAAAACAAAAUUUACAGCAUUGUUCAGAAGUUUAAGGUGGUCAAGUCAACUCAAACUUGCAAGAUAUACAACCAUAACAGAGAAUUUAGCCAUACCAAACUAGAUGAUUUAUAUAAGGGUCUAUUUUUACAAUUUGAAAUUUAACUUUAAAAGUCAAAUUUUAUUUUCAAAGUGAGCCUGAGGCUACAUAUACUUAGAAGCUAACUGUGCAAGAUACAGUUAGCUUUUAUUAUCUGCCUGCUAAUUUACCCCAACCAUGCUAAAGAAAAAGCAGAAUAAUACACAAUAUGUUCUACAUAAAUAUCAGCAGGACACUAUACUUACAGGGAUUCCUAGAGCAACAGGAUUAACGGGAGCAUUGAAGGGCCCAGCUGCAUCCAUCUUCAUAACUUUCUUAAUCACCUGAAAUACAACAUCAUCAUCCACAUGAAUUCUCAUUUCAGUGAUCAGCAUAUUCAGAAUGAUGAAGCCCAACUUGAAAAUUAUCACCCAAUCCUGGUCCACCACAUCAAGCUACAGACCACCCAGUGAUUUUACUUGGAAACCCCACCAUCUAGUAAGUUUCAGCUUCUUUUUUGGGGGGGCUCUUUUUUAUUUUAAAGUGGUGAAGAUUGUAUGUGGGGGGGAAAAAUGAGAUCAGAUCCCAAUGCAGUCCACAACAUGGCGGACAAGUUCCAGGCAAUAAUGAAUAAUCUCUUCAACUCUUACCGCUAGUGCUUCAGACAACUCCUUUUCAUUAUAGCGAGGAUCCUUCUCUCUUUGUAGUUUAUUCGUCGGCACCGAUACAUCUGCUUUUUUUUCAGUUGAAGAGACUAAAACCCUAGAUGUCUUGAUCUUAAUACUUCCCGUUUUUCUUGGCAGCGAUGUUUGCCCAUCUGAGUAUGCAGUGUCUUUCUCUACAGCUGCAUCAUUCGUCUCAACUGGAACUUGCAGAUUAGAUCUAUCGGUGUCACUGUGUGUUUGUGCAUCUGAAGAACUUCGGUGAGGCUCUAAAACUCUCGAAGAUUUUAGCUUCACCUUAAAACGGCCAUUUCCUGGUUUCCCUGUUGAUCCAUCAUUUGAUGCAUCGACACCAGUAGUUGACACGGUGCUGAGCUUCUCUAAUAAAGUAGCAGAUUCAGGAACUGCUUCUGAAUUAUGUUGAUCACGAUCGCUCUGACCCAAUUGACUACUCUCUUCUGUGUUCAGAGAGACCGGAGACUUAGUCAGAUCUUUUACCACCAGUUUUUUAGCCCCUUUCUUGUGACCUGUUCUCUUUCCACGCUUGCGUUUCAUGAUCUUCUUUAUUAGUCAAUCGAGCACCGUCAAAAUGUAAAUGAGCUCUGUUCCUCUGCCAAAUGCCACUAAAAGACGUUCUUGUCCCUGAAACAUGAAGAUUAGUUAUUACUAAUAGUUCUAAUAACCUACUAGAAAAGGACAAAUAGCGGUAUCAUCAUAGCUAAACUUUUAAUCAGCAAAAAGCAAGAGUCAGGUAAAGAAGAUUCUAAAACACAAUUAAUUUCACGAAAAUUUUAAUAAGCAACUCACUAGCAAUUAACAAAAGCAAAUUAGAUGAGUAAAUGAUUUACUCAAGAGUGUCAAAGUCAACCAGAGAACAUAUUAAUCUAUUCGAAUUAAAACAGUAAAUAAAACAAUUAAACCCCCCGAGCACACUAAUAUAAUUCCAGUUGUUCAAUGUUCUGAAAUUGGAAGAUUAACGGAAAUACAACAACAAAAAGAUGCAUAAGUGCUUGAUCAGAGCAUCACACUACUUCAUCUUUAUUUUUUCAACAAAAAAAAAGAAAUUUUUGCUACUUUUAAUUAGCAAAAAAGUUUUUGUCACAGCUACCAAAUCAGAUACUCCUCUCCUAUGCCCAGGAAACACUAUUCGCCAACUUCAAAGUUCUUAAAAGUAAAAAAACAAAUCUUUCUCACUUGCAUUCCAAAUUUCGGAACAAUCACGCGCCGAAUUCAUCGCUAACUUUCGUGGAACAUCAGAACCCUUAGUUUUGCAGGCCAUGUGUACACUAAUUAUUCUAAGUCCAUAAUUUUGUACUUAAUGACGUAUUCCCAACGCCUUUCUUAGGUUUUUUUUUUCUUUAGUAUCAAGACUUGAAUGAUACGACAGUAAACUAAAUAUAAAAAUAAAAUAAAAAAUCGGGUAAAAAAAAAAACGCACUAUUCGUCAGUGCAGUAGAAGAAUAGGAAACCCUAAGCGGAAUUAAUACGCAGAAACCUAAAAACAAGAGCAAACAUAUCCCUAAGCGAGAGAGACAUCGAAGAAACGAUUCAUGUAUCAUUAACGAAGCGAAGUUAGCGACAGAGAAGCAAAUCGAAGCUCAGUUUCUCCAAUCGAUGAGGGUUUCUACGGCGGAGAUUAGGGUUUCCAACAGGGGUUUUGGGCAGGAGAAGAAGAAGAAGAAGAAGAAGAAGAAGAAGAUACCUCGGGAAAGCUCGUCGGGGAGGUGAGGAGACGACGGCGGAGAGAGGCGGCNCGGAGAUCGGCGGCGGCGGCGGCGGCGCCGCGGUGGCGACGGGGGCGGAGGAGGAUGUUGGGGGGAGACGAGUUGGGCUCGCGUCUUUUCGGGUUUGGGCUCGGGUUCGAGUUAGUUCUAGAACCCAAAAAAAAAAAGGUUAGGGGCCUUAGGGCCACCGUCACGUGCCGGGACUUGUGUAGCACGUGAGUAAAGGGUCCGAGAUAUUACUACGUGAACCUGGUCCACCAUGUCAUCUGUGGACCGAAUCCUCUCUUUCAAAUCACCACCGCCCAUCUGUUGACCGAAUCCUCUCUUUCAAAUCACCACCGCCCACUAUUGGUGCUGGUAAAAUUAAUUUUUUGAAUUCCGUUGUUUGUUUUGAUGUAAGUAAGUGGUAUAAGUUGUUUAAGGCUUCGUUCGAUUCGGGGUUAAAUAAAGAACUAGUUAUUUAAGAGAUAGGUAUAAGUUCAAGGUUAAGUGUGAAAUAAACUAAUUUUGUGAUGAAAACUGGAUUAUUCCUAGAAAUAAGAAAAAUAGCGUUAAAAAGAAUAGUGUGUAGUUAUAAACAGAAAAUAACUUUAUAUUUGAAUUUAAAUAUUUAAAUUUUAUAAUUUAAAUUUUAAAUUUAAAUAUAUAUAUAACUUUAAAAAUUAAAAAUUCAAAAUAAAAUUUGUUUUUAAAAUCUCAAAUUCAAAAAUUUAAAAUUCUAAAUUUUAAAUUUUAAAUUAAAAAUAUUAAAUAUUAAAUUUAAAAUUUAAAAAAUUUAAAAUAAUAUUUUAAAAUUUAAAAUUAUAUGUCUCAAUUUUAAGCUUACAAAUUUUUAAAUUCAAAAAAUUUAAAAUAUAAAUAUAAAAUUUAAAAUUUAAAAUUUAAAUUAAAAAAUAGAAUUGGGUGGGAUUAAAGUUAAUCCCACCCCAAUUCCAUAGAGGGGGUGGGGUUGGUUAAACCCCACCCCAAAAGGGUUAUUCCAGAGUAACUCUUUUGGGGUAGGGUUAACAAACCCCACUCGCCAAAAAUAUUGUUUGGAGUUAAAGGGGAGGGAUAACACUCUUAUCCCUCCUUUAAUUCCAAACCAAACAGAGGUUAAGGGUGUUUGAUUCCGCUACAUGAUCUAAAAAUAUUUUUACAAAUUUAAAAAAAUUUUAAAUUUUUAUUUUUUAUUAUUUUUUGGCGAAAAAAAAAACUAAAUAUACAAAAAAAAAAUUAUUUAUUUUUUCCACCAAACCAGACAAAUGUAUUUUUUUUUUCCUUUCAACCAAAUAAAUAUUAAUAAAAAUUUAAUUUUUUCUACAAAUCAAACACUAUAAACGUAUAAUUUCUUUCCACCAAAAAUUUUUUUCACGAAAAAUUAUUUUUUUUUUAUUUUACGUUGAACCAAACAGACCCUUAACCCUUUCUCAUUUCUAAGAAUCCAUUAAUUUCCUUCACAAGUGGUGGAGAUUCAAAGGGGAGAAACAAUGGACGGUAACGGAUCAUUUGGUUCACGAAUGAUAUGGUGGACCAAGUGUAGGCAAUAUUUACGAGAAUAGUGGUAUAAAUAGGCCGGUGGGCCCGCUCGAGCCCCUUUUUGAACAAGAACUGGGCCUAUGCAUGGCCCGGCCCAAGUAAAAACAAUUUAAAAAUUUUGAUAUGGGCUCCACCCAAUUAGUUCCAGGUUGCUCCGGUCAAUGCGGGUUUCGGGUCCUCGAGUUUGUUAAGUCAAUUCGGGUCGGAUCGGAUUCUGGAAUCAGAAGACACAUAUGAAUGACAUAAAUUUGAACUGCACCUUUUAUUGCCAAAUGAUUUACUCAUCAAAAUACUUAUCAAUCAUCAAUUACACAGCCUUUGUAUACAAAUCCGAAUACUAAAAGCACAUCCAUCGUCGAGUAUCUCAUACAAGACCUAAAAAUUAUUACAAAAAUACAACACAAUUCAGUAGUUCUCGGUGUAAUAGCUCAGUACCGAUCAAUCGGAGGAAGUCGAGAACCGAUAGGAGGCAUAUGAGAUGGUGCAGUUUGUCCAGCUGUGGUGAAUAAGCUCGGCCUUGGCUUUCACGCCCGCGGCGCCGAGAGCUACGUGAAGAGGGAAUAAGUGGUCCGGCCACGGGUGCGCCAUUUUACCGUACGGCGCCCUCUCCUCGAAGUUGUUUAUAUCGUCGUGUCUACGAAACAGCAAAGAAAAAGAUCACCAGUGAUGUGAAUUAAAUAGAACAAAAUAUUAGACCUCACUGAGAACAAAGCGGAUUUUAUGCAGACGAAGUUACAGAACAGAAUUUGAGAGUUUCGCAAGAAUCAGAAGUGACAAUUUCCGACACGACACGACAUGAUAAAGCAGCUGAAUAGAUCACAAUUAAAAAUUGCUGCGAGAAACUCGAGACUACGAGCCCGAAAAUACAACAAAGAAAUAAGUUUAAGCUUUUAAACAUUUAAGGUAAGUUAUGAACACAAUCUUAAAACUAGUACGAGAAUCGCCACCUCUGGACGUAAUAGUGAUUUGAUAAUUAUCCUAGAAUAAUCCGGUUUGAUCAGAAUAACUUCCUCGGACCCUUUCUCUUUUCUUUUUUUUUAAUGUGUUUAGCAUGAAAGGAGGGUAUUAACCUGUUCAUACCUUCCGUUAAUGAGAGAUUCUUUAAGCCAUGUGUCGAAACCCUCGGCCCACUUGGCGAUCGGACCGCCGUCCGGCCCAAUGCUCCUCAAAUUAUGUGUAGCGUUCCCGGACCCGAGAACAAGAACCCCUUCAUCUCUCAAGGGAGCCAAUGCUUUCCCCAUGUUAUAGUGAUACGCAGCACCCUUUCUGCUUUGAAUAGAGAGUUGGCAUACCGGGAUGUUCGCCUCAGGGUACAUGAGCAUGAGAGGGACCCACGCGCCGUGGUCGAGCCCGCGACUAGCGUCCUCCCUCACACGGCCAAACCCGGCUCCUUCCAGAAGCUCUUUCACCCUCUUUGCUAAGUUCGGCGCACUGGGUGCAGGAUACUUCAGCUGCACGAGGAAAAGUGAUUCAGUUAGCUCAAUGUAGAAGAUUGUUACCCUUUUGCUCUUUCCGAGCAAGAACGGUGAUAAGAAUCUUCUCUCGGAGGUUUCAUUAAAGAUUAAUUAAUGACUCAACAAACAAUAUGGAUAUAACUAAUUCAACCAACUAAUAGCACAUCCACCGAUCUUAUCCAAUUAAAUAUAAUAGUACAAAGUUAAUAUCGGCUUCGAAAUAGAUACUAUGAAGGGGGGAAUAAAAAUAAACAUUAUAAAAUGAGCUCAUGAUUUAUGUUUAGUCUGUUUUAUGCAAUACCUCCUCUCUUUUUUUCUGACACAAUGCUGAAAACUAGCGAAAUUCCCGUCAGUGCGACUGCAAAUUAGAUGAACUAUCAGCUAACUUUUUUUUUUUUUAUCUCAUCUUGUUCAAGCAAUGCAGGAAUUGUUUAACAUGACUAGUUAAUUGAAGAUAAAUCAUAACAUAAGAAAGGGUUAGGAGACGAGUCGUAUUCAGAAGAGAGAUAGAGACUUCUCUUGGCACCGAAGCAAAAGCAACUCGUCGCUCAAAUUUUGGUGAUGUUCUUCGUUUACGCGAGAAGUUAUUCCUCGAAGUUGCAGAUUACCAACAGGCUCAAUAAUCCGAUUUUGACGGAUUCAACUAGGAACAUAAAUAGAAAUUAGAGUGUCGGCUUCGAAGGAUCGACAAAAUUUGCAUGAAUUGUAAUACACCACCUGAACAUUAAAAAGUUGAAAUUUACCAUCUUAAUUAUACUUCUAUUUCAAUCCUACAUAUAUAACUGGAAAGAUGCAGUUAGGUCCAUGACAAUCUAACUAAAUGAUUAUACACAGAUGAUAAAUUGUAAUUAAUUAAUCCUAGAUGGUGAAUUAGGAUUCGGCAAAAUUGACACUAACAUCAACAAUCCUAUAUCCCAAAAGAUCCAAUUUUUAAGGAUUCAGAAGCAAGAUAAGAGAAAUCGAUGAAAUGGAUUCGUUAGAACCCUAACUAAAAUUCCAAUGAUUCUAGGGCAUAUUUCCCCAAUAAAAAGAACAAUUUUUUUGCACUCAAAUAGAGAACAUUCAUUCACGCCAACGUCCCAAACGAUCCAAUUUUGUUAAAUUCAGAGGCAAUUGAAGAGGAAACAACAAAAUGGGUUCAUUCAAACCCCUGAAAAAAGCAUCACCCGCCUGGUACACAGCCGUGCGAAUCGGGAAAAGUUGAAUUACAAAUUGAACUAAAAUUCAUGUGUUUCUAGGGCACAUUUUCCCCCAGAAAACAAAUUUGAAAACAUCAUCACGCUCCGACAUCCCAAAAACGCCCAAUUUUGAUGGAUUCAGAAGCAAUCGAAGAGAAAGCAACGAAGCUGAUUCAUGUAGAACGAUCACCUGGUACAUGGGCGUGGGGAAACCGUAGAAGUCGUGGAUGGUGUCGUGGGGGGCUGCGCCAUCAACGGCGCCAUUAACGGCGGGGUCGCGCGUGUCCCAAUGGGCGGAGACGACGAGGAUCGCCCUGGGCGCGGCCUCCAAAACCCUAGAUCGCCAUGAGCGGAGGAAGCCCCGCGCGGGGAUGCUCUCGUCCACCGCGAGCGUCGGCGAACCGUGGGAGACGAAGAACGUAUCCAUCGUACGCAAUUUCAAAUUCAAAAUUUUAUAUUUUAUAUUUCAAAUUCAAAUUUUUGAUUUUUUUUUUUUUCUUUGAAUGGGGUUUUGUGGGGAAUUUUGGGUGGUUUAUAUAUAGAUCGAAGGAGAGAGGGGUGGUUGAGAAAGUGAAACUAGUUUCCUGCACCGGGUGUACAAGAACGUCUCAUACACCGAAUUAUUAUUAUUAUUAUUAAAAAUUAUUAUUUUGGGAGAGGUUGGUAUCAUCGGUGACGUCACUGGGAAAGAGGAGAAAUAUUUUUCAUAAAAGUAAAUGUAUAUGUAAAAUAUAUGUUUUUCUAAAAAAAAAUUGUUUAAAUUAAUAUGUAUACGAUUUCUCCAUAAUAUUAGCCAGCAAUUUAUUGUAAAUUAGUGAUUUGAAUGAUUAAUUGCAAGUAGAUAACUCUAAUUCGUUGAACAGAUUAUUUUGAAGGGUUCUUUGAAUCAUUCAGCCUAAUUAUUUUUUGGAAAUAAUUUUCAAGAUUAGUCAAUUCUCUGAAUUGUGACACCCCAAUAGUCUCACAUCAUAUAAUUAUGUCUGGAAGUAUAUAAGUUUGAUUGGGUUAGACAUAAAAACUGAACUUAAGCAUUUUGGACUAGUGGUUUGGACCCAACGAGUUAUUAUUACUAGUGGACUGGGGUCUUAAUAAGGCUAGCGAGACAAGUCUCACAUCACCUCGUGAUUUUGAGCUGUGUUAGUCUCAUGUGGGAGUAUAAAGCUUGAUUGGGCUAGACAUAAUAACUGGACUUAAGUAUUUUGGGCUAGUGGUUUGGACCCAACAAGUUAUUAUUGCUAGUGGGCGGAUCGUUACAUGAAUCUUGAUUAUUACUAAACAUUAAUGGAAUGGUGAUGCUUCAACUGUCAAAGAAUCAAUUAUCCGAUUCAGUUCUCUGAACCUUGAUUAUAACUGGACAUUAAUGGAAAGUUGGUGCUUCAACUUUGAAAGAAUCAAGUAUCUCAAUUAAUGGCUUUAUAUAAGAGUAUAAGAAAAAGAUUUGACUUGUUAUAAAAAAGACUACCAAAUAAUAGAGUACAAAAAAUGUAAAAGGUAAACUUCAGUUUGCCCACGUAUAGUUUAGCUUAUUUUUAUUUUUUUCGUCAUGUGAUUCAGAAAGUUGCUUAUGGUUCAUAAUUUAGAGGAUUACCGAAAUAUUACAUAUCAAGAUUUACAAUAUUCAGUAAAUACUGUAUAUUUUAUUUUUGAAAUAAUAAGUUUGUUAUUAAAUUAUCAAAGUCAUUUACAUUUAGACGUUGUUAAAAACUGGUAUCUUUUUAUUAAUGAACUACAUACUAAUGAUUUUAAUCAAAUACGAAAACGAGAAUAUCUUCUAACUCAUAAUAAUCUUAUUGUAAUAAUUUUACUAUUCCACCAACAACUUUUAUAACUAUCCAACCUGAAUUGAAUAAUAAUAAUUUAAAUAUUUUUAAUAAAAAAUAUAGAAAAUUAUCAAAAUAUUACAAAGUGACAAGCAAAUGGAGCCAUAACAAUCAGCAAGUGAUAUUCAAAGAUAGCACACACUGUACACUGUGUGAUGCCAGGAUGUCAUCUCUAUGCAAGCACAAAGAGCAUCUUGAAGUCCAACAGAAGCUUCUGGUAUCUGCAUGACUGCAUACAAUGUAGAAGUUGAAUAGAAGUCUAUAAAAUCUAAAUGCUGUGAAGGUUGAGACAGGAUCUUGUCUAGGGUAGUUGGGUACAAAUGAUAGAUUGAGUAGAUAAUUUAUUUACACAUUAAUACGCAUGGAAUGUAUUUCUUUUUUUUCUUUUUUUUUUUUGAGAGAAAGGUAGCAUGUUACCCGUUUCGUUUAUUUCAUUUAGAAAUAAACUUAGCUGAAAAUGUGAAUUAACUAAGAUUCGAACUUAGGUCUCGGGUACCGACCACCAAACCCUUUUGCCACUUGCGCUAAGGACGGUCGGUGCAUGAAAUGUAUUGCAUCUCCAAAUUAGAUUGGAUAGAAUAAAAUAAAAACGUAAUACUGAGAAGAAAAAAAAAAAAAAAAAAAAAGACAACAUAUUUUUUGAAAGAAAUUUAAGUCUUUUUAGCUAUUGUGAAAUGGCCCCCCCUCUUUUUGGCUAUUGGCGCUAUCUUUAUUUUUAUUUCUUAGAAUCGAAUGUUUAGUAAUUAAAUUAAAAUUUUCGUCCAAUUUAUUGAUGAUUCCAUCAAAUUGUAAUAUUUUUAACUUUUCUAUAGCAAAGAAAAACAGGGGAAAAAAGUGUCAAUCACAAAAGUGGAAGGUGAGGAAAUUCUAUUCAAAUCCUACUUAUGAACUAUUGGAAAAUAUAACAUCCCACUUAGUUGAAACAAAUUGUUGAUAAAGUCCCUUCAUUGUUGUGAUUUCAUAGAGAAUUAUGCAGAAACAGAAAAAGAAAAAGAAAACCCUUCGGGAAGCAAAAUCUGAAAAAGCUACAAGAAUCAAAAGAUGAAGAAGAAAAAGAUUGAGAAAAGCCUCUGCUUUUUUGGAUACUUGAAAAUAAGAAGAUGUCGAGUAAGGAUAAAGUAAACAAGUAUUUCUUCUUGCUUGCUUGAAAAUAAAAAGAUGUCAAAAUGUAAAUACGAAAGAUGUCGCGACCAAAUUUAGAUAAAACACCUUGUAUGUAAAAUGCACUAUAUUGAGAUAUAAUGAUUAUUCGGGCCUUUCGAUAACUAAAGUCGAAAAACUUCUGCGUCAUUCGCUGAAACCAAACCCCCAUCCAACACAAAUUAUCCCGCUAUAACUUAUUCCGACAUUCCAACAGGCCCUAAUUCUAAAAUUACACAGAUAUCGAAUAAAUAUUAUUGUGGACUACAUGAUCUCGACCACUGCUCGGCCGAUGAUCUUUCCGCGGUCGAGAUCUUCAUACGCGCUAUUUGCCUCCUCGAAUUUGCAUUUUCUCGAGACGGAUUUUUGAAGGUUGAAGAUGCCCGUCUCUGCAAGCUUCACCACCUGGGGAAGAUCUUGCCUCGCCCUCGCACCAUAUGAACCGAUGAUUUUUAUCUGUUCACAAGAAGAAUACAUCAUGACAGCAAUGCACAAGUUAACCAACUGGUAAUAAAAGCGAUAACAAUAAUACUUGUACUAAACCUAGUAGUCGGUUGUACUAAACCUAGUAGUCGGUUUAAUGGUCACAUCAAUUCUUAUCGAAUAUUAAAAAUAUUACAUCUUCUAGCUACUACAUAUAACAAAGGAUUGCUUUCAAGUAACUAGUAAUAAAGGAGUUGGUGAAACAAACAAAUCCGUGCAAUAUCCCAUUAAUUCUCUUGCAAAUAUGCCUGUUUGAUGGAACCAAAAAGGAAAAAAGAAAAAAUAAAAAGGAUUGCUAUUAAAUUUAUUUACAGGAUUAUUGCAAAUAAUCCAGUAUAUACUCCAUGAAAGUGAUAAGGGAAAUAUUGAGAACGAAAUAAGAGAUUGAAUUGCCCAACUAAUUGAGAUACGCUAUCUUAUAAAGCCUAAAAUUUUUUAUUGGAGCAACAGGUAUGUAGGUAUACCUGUCUUCGAACAAGACGAGUAAUAUCCACCUCGCCCAUCACGUUUGUCGAAGCAAGGCCGAUCAUAACAGCUUUUCCUCCAUCACACACGCUUUUCGUGCAUUGCAUAAAUGUCUGCGGCUUCCCUAAUGCUUCUACAGCCACAUCUACACCCCUCCCCCCGGUAAUUUCCUGUAAAGAAGUCAAAAUUAAUGAUUACACAACAACCAGGAUCACAAAGUUUACAUUGCAACGUAUUUCUGAACUUCCAACUUCAACAAUAUGGUCCCUGAACUUUCUCAUAUAUUACAAUUCCAUCCUUCACUGUGAGAAAAGAAAGAUAAAUGUUCCUUAAAAUGACCAUUUUACCUUUCUCACAUAAAAUGAUGUCCUUGUUUCAAUACCUUUUAACAGGGUUAGAAAGGUCAUUUUGUAUGCAAUAUGUCAUGUAUUGCUAGAUAUCUUUUAGCAGCCAAGGAUAAAAUUGCACUCCGUUAAAAUGAAAAGAUUUAGAACUAAAAAGUGUUUGACUGAAAAAGUUCAGGAACUACGUUACAUUUUGUCUUUUGUCCUUCGUAUUUCAAUGACGAAUUAGAAAGGCUGGAAUGAUCGCUUCGGAUGAAUAUUUAUACAAAACAAUCACCAAAAAAGAAACUCCAUCUAAGAAAUUAAUUAAUCUUGUAACUUUUUAUUCGUGCCUGGAUUCUUUCAACAGCAUCUUCUUUUUGUGCAUUUAUUGUAUGGGUAGCGCCAAGCGUUGUGGCAUUUUGGAGCUUUUCAUCCGAGAUGUCGACUGCUAUGACUUCAGAAGCUCCAAAGGCUCGGGCUAUCUGUAGACAACUGCAGGGAAAACAGAGAAACAAAAUGAUGCAGUAACUUAAUUUUCCAUCAAAAGAGAAGAUAUACAAAUCUAUUUGCAAUAGUAAAGCCUUCAAACUUAACGAGACGGAAACUUCAUAAAUGCUCUUACCAAUCAGUGGACACAGCAUAAAGUACAAAUAAAAUGUGAUAAUAGGAUGAUUGUAGUAUCCACAGGCCAUAGCUGGAAGCUUUCUAUGCAAAUGGAGAAACUAGAUGCAAAUCUAACAUUAAUGAAAAUUUGACCUAAAAAUCAAAAACAGUCAAUUUCAUGAGCGCUUAUUAGAAAUAUGUUACAAAUAUGUUGUGAUAAAGCAACUAACAUGCUCUCCAUAAAGCAAGACAUUCUAUAACCUCAACAUUUUCCUGAAAACAAUUAGUAUAUUCGAGUAGCACUUUAUAGAACCAAACUGUGUUAAGAAAUUGAGGGGAUUUUAAUGAAAAUGCUAUUAGGGCUUCUUCGAAAACUCUGCUCAGGGAGCACCUUCUGCAGAACUCCAAUUGAGCCUAACAGGCCAUUGGUGGAUAAAUAAGAAAAUCAAGAAAGUUUUAAAUUCAGUAGAAGAUUGGUGGUCACCUCGAUCCGACCCCACCAACUCCAAUUACGGCAACUGAAUCCCCAGCACGCAUCUCGGCAGCGUGCCUCAUGGCACCAUAAGCAGUAAAGACUGCACAUCCUAGAAUCGCUGAUUCUGUAUAUGGCAGUGAGUUAGGAAGAACUGCCAAUGCAUUGGCAGGCACAACACAGUACUCAGCAAGUCCACCCAUACUGUACAUGUACACCGGCUUUCCUGUUAAAUUUUUUUUAAAAAAAAAGGAAGAAAGGAGUUUUAGGCACUAGUAUACAAAAUGGAAAGAGAUAUUUAUAUAUCUUCCUCCGGAAAAUUAUCCAUUUAUAUGUAUAUCCCUGCAGAAUCAGAAUUAUCAUAUAUGCUCUUCAGAAACUUGAUUCUCUCGUACUGAACUAACGAACCUUUGAACAACCUUUUCUAAAUUCAAAAACAAUAUUACCCCAUUACAUGGCUUACACAAGUAGACGCAUACAGUGCUUUAAAUUGCGGCCGCUAUAGCAGAUUUUAUGUGCUACCGUUACGUUAUAAUAUGUAAAGCGGUAUAUAACGGAUCGGGUUCAUAGCGGCCGCUUUAUCGGCAUAGGACCCGUUGAAGCGGCCGCUAUAAAGCAGUUAGAAAGCGGGCGCUAUUAGUCCAAUUCUUAAAAAAGUGCAAACGGGUUAAAAUAGCUUAAUGUUUCAGAUUCUUAAAUGAAAUACAAAGAUCAAACCAUGUUUCUAAGGGUUUGGAAGAUAAUUAUUUACCUAAGAUAUUCUUUUUGACAUUCAUUUACAAAUUGUUUAGAUUGUUAAUGGAUUAUAGAUUUUCAAAUGUUAUGUCUUUUUGGUUUGCUAAAUAUUUCGAAGUUAAUUUUAAAUUCUUAAUAGAUAACGAUAUUAAUAUAUAUAGGCUUGCAAUACUAAAAAAAAAAGAAUGAUUAGUUGUCGUUUUUUCAAAAUUAUAUGUAUUUUUUAUAAGGAAUAUAAACAUAUUAAAUAUGCUUUUAUGAAACCCGCUAUGGGUUCAUAGCGUCCGCUAUGACGCCCGCUAUCCAUUUUCCGCUAUGAGACUCUCCAAAUGCUAUGUACCCGCUAUCCGUUAUUUACAACCUUAGAUGCAUACCAUUGCUGCGUAGAAAAAGUCGUGUUUCGCCAUCAUAGAGUGUCCCUUUGGCACGAUUAUAUGCGAAGAAGGCCUCACAUAGAUCUUCUUGUCCCUAUAUAUUUAUAUUGAAAUAGGUCAAGCCACAAAGAACUAAUUUAGCAGUAAAACAAAUAAAUAUUCAGAGAGAAGCAAAAUCUUGAUAACUACCUUAACACAGUAAAAGCAAUUGCCACAAGGCAUUAUGAAAGCACCAACUACAUGACUCCCAAUAGGAAACCUGAAGAUGACAAGUAUCAAAUAUUAUUUCUGCUGAACAUUAUUGAAGGUUCCCUAAUUGAACAGACAAUAUCUCAUAAUAUUUGCAAAAGGGAAAAAGAACAGACUAAGUUGCAAAUACAGAAGAAAAAAAAAAGAAAUGGAUAUUUUUGCAAAGUGGCCGAGAAACAAGUUUCGCUCUCACAAAUUCUUGGCACAUGUAAUUAUACCUCUCUUUAAUCCGAUUAUCAGUGUGUGCACCAUACUCAACAACCUCUCCGGUUAUUUCAUGCCCCACAACACAAGGACUUGCGAAUGGGAGUUCACCUUUCAUGACAUGAAGAUCGGAGUGACAAACGCCACAGGCUGCAUUUAUUGAUCAAAGGCAGAUUAAUAGCAUAAGCCGUCAUUUUGAUAAGCUUCAUAUAACCCACAAUUAGGUCAAAAAAGAAGGAAACAGCAAUUGCCGUAUACAGGAAGGAUGAUUACAAGGCAGAGUAACAAACCAUAGUACAAGUAUAUGAAGAUAAGUUCAGAAAUUUAAGUAAACUCUUCGUCUAUUGAGAUCUCAUGCUGUCCUGGUCGUGGCAUCUAAUUAUCUCAAAGCAGUACCAAAUGGUGGUUAACAAAUGCAGAAGUUUGCACAAAGUUAAAUUUGACAGUUGACCAUGUAGUUUAAAGAUUAGUCUCUAUAGUUCUCCCCAUUUGUACGUCACAAUACAUGGAGGAUUUGACCACAAGCGCAUCAGUAUCCUAUUGAAUGAUAUUUCGUGAAGACAAUUUGUGAGCUCUCAAUAGGAUAUCAUUAUUUGGUUUAAGCCAAACUAAUUUUGAAUCAAUUUUGUAAUUAGAUAUGGAUGAGACAACUUGACAACCUUGCUGGGUACUUCAAUUCUUGUAAUUUCUAUGAUAAUCCCUCAAAUCAUCAAUCCUUUUUUUUUUUAACAAAACACAAGAACCUAGCUGAGAUAAAGACAUCUGGAUAAGGAAAGGUCAACUUUUAACCUCCAGUGCAGAAAAAGUUUUCUCAUCUUCCCACCAAAUUUCCACCUACUUCUCCGAACCAUCCUGCUCCGACAAUCCCACUCUUCCUCUCCUCUUCUCCCUUUUAUAGAACCUUUUAAUAGUACUAUCCUAAUUUGAUUGAUGAUCUCCAACAAAAUUCAGAAUUUUCAGCCUACUAACUAAAACAUUCUCACUCCUCUUUUCUCUCGCUCUCUCCUUUAAUCGGAUCUCAACUUCUAUAUGCAUACGGCAUCCUUUUUCUUAAGACACAAUAGGGUGAGCAUUAGGGGAAAAAAGAAGAGAUCCUAAGAGUAGGUCCGAAGGAAUCAUAUGAGAACCCGAAAAGCAUCCCAUUAGUUAAAAAUACUUAAAAAUACGUCGAAGAUGAAUGGAAUUGACCUGAACUAUGGCCUGUUUAGGGAUAACUGCCGAACUCUUAAAAGUUCUGACUUUGCUAUAUAACGCUUCGAUUCCUUUGGAUUUAAGUCAUUUAGUAGGUCUUCAGUCAUAAAAUUUGCUGUACUUUAACAAGAACGUUGCCACAUAAAUCACAUGAGAUACUUAUCAAAUUAAUUACGAAUUGAAAGGUUAUAUAUCGAAAUCAAAAGUUUCAGGGUUGACUAGUCAUCUCAAAUCGGGGCAUAGUUCAAGUAACUGUGAUAGGUUUUUACCUAAAAAAUAUCAUAAACCAUUCUUGUUGUUAGUGAAUUAAUAAUUUAACACAAUGUGAGGUAUAUCAUUGGCAUAUUCUUCGAAUCUACAGUUAAAAUAACCUAGUAAUAUAAUACACAGCAUGAUGAUAGUGGGGCACUGUUACGUAGUUUACAAAAAGUUGAGGAACUAAUCUGCAAUAAUCCAAAGACCAAAUGGAUUUUUUAAUAGGAACAAAACAAACCGAUCAACAUCAAAUCGACAGAUACCCAAGAUCGGAGACUAAAGCCCUAAUAACGCGAUCGAUUGCGAGGGGGUAACGAUGAGACCUUUGGUCCUGAUGAGGAGCUCCCCGGCCUUGGGGCGGGGCAUGCGGAACUCCUCGACUGCGAGGGGUCUCCCGGGCUCCCAGAACACGACCCCGCGCAUGGAGGAGGGGGCUCCGUCGACGAAGAACCCUGCGGCGGAGGAGGCGCCGCCGCCGCCGCCCCGCUCCACCCCCGCCGCGGCGGCGCAGAGGGAUCGCCGGAGAGGGGAGGGGCGGAGGAGCUUGGGGAGGCGGCGAAGUAGGGAUCGAGAGGCGUAGGAGGAGAAGAACGCCAUUGGAAGAGGACGAGGAAGAGAGAGAGAGAGAGAGAGAGAGAGAGAGAGAGAGAGUAGAAGAUGGAGAGACUCUCGGAGACGAAGUAGAGAGAGAGAGAGAGAGAGAGAUUUGUAUAGUGUUCGUUGAGGGGGCCCACCAAAAUAUACAUAUAGAUAUAGGGAUAAUUACUUUAUACCCCUCAACACAUCUGAAAUUUCUUAUUUAUCCCUGUUUUGUUUUUCAAAUAUAUUGCUCGUAUAUUUCUCUAUUAUUUAAAAAAUAUACUGUUAGUGUACGUUGAGUUAUCUCAGAUUAAAUAAUUUAAUUUAUACCAUAGUUAAAAAUAGUUGAAAUACCUAUUUUGUUUCUAACUUAAGGACAAAUAAAAAUAGCUGGUGAUGUAGAAGAGCAUUUAAAAGAAUAAAAAAAUCAAAAUACUUUUUUAUCCUAACUUAACAGUAAAUAAAAAAAUCGGUGAUGAUAAAAAAAUAUAUUUAAAAGAGUAAAAUGAUAAUUUCCUAAAGAUAACGAUGGCCCCUAAUAGUUCAUUAAUAGAAUUUAACUCUAUAAAUAUAUUUGAAAAACUUUAAAAUUUUGAAAUGAUAUUUUUAAUGUGAACCAGAAAUAAAUAAGAAAAGCCAAAAAAUUUUAUCCAUCUUUGGAUCAUAUUUGGAUAAAUUGAUAAGAUGAUUAAUUAGAUUAAGGCUUUAUAAGAUAAGAUAUGAAUACAUUUUGGAUGAUUUAAAUCUAAUAAUAUAUAUUUUAAAUUGAUAAUUUUUUAAAGGAGAAAAAAUAAGCUCAAAAUAGUUGGAACAAAAUUUGCCAUUGCAUACAUUAUUGUUUUUUUUUUUUUUUUUUGAGGGUCAACACAUAUAGAACUUAUCAAAAUUAUGGAUCACUUUAAAUUUACUAUCCGACUUUUUAAAAAUUAAUUUUACUAUCUAAAAUUUUAUUCUAUUUGAUUUGAGUCUAUCAACAGUGCAUUGACUUAGGAUUUAAACUUAUUUCUUACUUAAUAAAUUUAUAAUUAUAAAAAUUAUAUAAAGUAUACUAAGUAAAUUCAUAUAGAUAAAUAAUGUAUUCAAAGUUUAAAGUAAAAAUACCAUCGAAUGACUCAAACCAAAAAAAUUAAAAUUAGAAUUUUAAAAGAUGGAUAGCCGAAUUAAAAUAAUUUAUAUUUUAGAUAAGUUUUGGGCCAAUUUGCAUAAAAAAUUCAUUUAUUUUAGAUUUUUGCAAAACCGGGCCACCUUUUUCGUUUUUGCAGAUUCGGUCCACUUUUUCAGCAAACUGACCAAAAUACCCUUUUUACUUUUUCUCUUUCUUCUUUCUCUCUCCUCUUUCGUUUCUCUCGUUCUUUUUUUUUCUCGCCGGCAGAGCGGAGGCGGAAACGGUCCGUCUCGCCUCUCACCCUCAUUCUCUAGCCCUCGCCCUCGUCCUCGCCCUCGCCCUUGCCCUCGUCCACGCACCCCCCACCUUCCUCGCCUCCAACCCCGCUAAGGCCGCGCCACGACUUUUUUUUUUUUUUUUUUUUUCUUUCUUUUCUUCUCCGACUCUUCUCGACGUCUUAUCUACAGUUACGACGAUUACCUCUCUGUCCUUCCCCCUUCUCAUCUCUUCCCUCUCCCUCAUUCUCUGCCGCUCGACGACGAUGCAUCUUCGCCGGCGCCGACGUCGACACCCGUGGAGCGUCACUGCGCUCCACAGGUCGCGAAGCGGGGUCCUUAGCGCGUGUCAGUCGCCGGCACCGGGCCUGUUUCCAGAGAAGGUGACAAAAAAAAAUUAUAGAAAAAACAAGAAAAAAAAAAAAAAUAAAGAUAAAAAAAAAAAAAAAAAAAAGAAAAAAAAAGAAAAAAAAAAAUAAAAAAAAAAAAAAAUUAAAAAAAAAAAAAAAAAAAAAAAAAAAAAAAAAAAAAAAAAAAAAAAAAAAAAAAAAAAAAAAAAAAAAAAAAAAAAAAAAAAAAAAAAAAAUUAUAAAAAAAAAAAAAAAAUGAUAACAAAAAAUUAUAUAAAAGAAUGAUGAAAUCAAAUUGGUUUAUUGUUAACUGCCCAAAACAUAAAAUUAUAAGUAUUGCACGUAUUUAGAUGUAAACUGCCAGCUUUUAGAUGAAAACUCUACUCUUUAAACGAAAAUUACACUAUUGAGCAGAAUAUUUACACUGUUUCUUUCUUAUUACACUUGUUCAGAUGCUAGAAACUGGCAUACAUUAAGAUGAAAGUUACACACUCUUUUAAACAAAAGUUGCCACUGUGUUUCCCUGCUUGUUGGCCGCUUUCCUCUUUGUUAAAAUAUUUUUUAUCUUAAACUGCCACCCUUUUAAGAGAUAUUGUAUACUGAUUUCUCCUCUUGCUUGACACCAUUUUGUUUGUGUAAAUAGAGAGAAUCGUGACAAGCAGGAGGAGAAACAGUGCAAGAAGAGAAGAAACUGCACUGUUUUAGGAAUAUAUAUUUACCUGUUUCUCUCUUGUUGCAUCAUUUCUCGUUGUAAACAAGAGGAGAAAUAGGCUCAAACAGAGGAGAACUGCACUAUUUUGAAGAGACUAUAUCUACUGUUUCUUUCUAUUGUUGCACUGUUUCUCUUCUUGUUGCAACAUUUCUGUGUAACACAAUAGCAAGAAAUAGUGCACAUAAGAGGAAAACAAAUGCAUAAGAGGACGAAACUGCACCUUUUAAGAGUAUUAUACUGUUUCUCCUCUUAUUGUACUGUUCUCCUCUUCGUUGCACAUUUCUCUGUGAAAUAAGAGGAGAAAUAGUGCAACAACAAAAGAGAAACAGUGCAACAAGAGGAGAAACAGUAUAAAUAUCACUUAAAAGGAUGCAGUUUAAGAUAAAAAAUAGUAUAAUUUUCGUUCAAAGAGUAUAAUUUUUAUCUUAAAGCAGCAGUUUACAUCUUAAAUAGUGCAACUUAUAAUUUUUUUGUAAUUAACGAUGUAAUUUCAUCUUCAUCCUUCUUUUUAUAUAAUUUUUUAUCUUUAUUUUUUUUCUGUUUUUUCUAUAAUUUUUUUGUCACCUUCUCUGCCAACAGCUACGGCGCCGGUGACUGCGCCGGUGACGACGCCGCUAAGGACCCCCCGCUCCGAGGCUGUAGCGCCGCAGUGACCUCUACGGUGUCGACGUCGGCGCCGGCGAAGAUGAAUCGUCGUCGGAGGCGGCAGAAAAUGAGGGAGAGGGAGAGAUAUGAAGGGCGGGGAAGGGCGAGAGGCGUCGUCGUCGGAGACGGUGGAGAAGAGUCGGAGAAGAAAAGAAAAGAAAAAAGCAAAAAAAAGAAGUCGCGGCGCGGCCUUAACGGGGUCGGAGGCGAGGAAAGUGGGGGUGCAUGACGAGGGCAAGGGCGAGGGCGAGAGCAUGAGGGUGAGAGGCGAGACGAACCGUUUCUGUCUCCGCUCCGCCUCCGCUCUACCGGCGAGAAAAAAAAAAAGAACGAGAGAAACGAAGAAGAGAGAGAAAGAGGAAAGAGAAAAAGUAAUAAGGGUAUUUUGGUCAGUUUGCUGAAAAAGCGGACCGAAUCUGCAAAAAUAAAAAAGGUGGCCCGAUUUUGCAAAAGUCCAAAAUAAGUGAAUUUUUUAUGCAAAUUGGCCUAAGUUUUGUAUGUUUUUACCUUCUAAUUUUUUUUCAAAAUUAAGAGACAUUGCAUAAAUCCUAGAAACAUUGGGAAUUAAUAUACAAAGAACACAACACAUCUUCAAAAAUUAUGAAUCAUUUUAAUUUGACAAUCCAAUUUUUAAUAAUUUUAAUUUUAUUAUUCAAUUCUUUUAAUUUGUUUGAUAUUGAAUCAGUAAAUAUAAAUAAUAUUUUGAAUUUAAAGUUUAAACUUAUUUAAGUAAAUUUAUAGUCGUGAGAAUUAUAUGGAGCACGCUAAUUAAAUCUGUAAAAAAUAAAUAAUAUAUUUUAAUUUUAAAAAUACAGGUGUACUACUCAAAUUAAAUAAAUUAAAAAUUAGAUAAUAAAAUUUAAAUUUAAAAAGGUUUGGUUAGUUUGUGCAAGUUUUUGACUUGAAAAAUUAAAAAAGGGGGCGAACUCCGCUGAAGAGCCGAAGAAACCCUCGUCUCUCUCUCUCUCCCACGCUGCCUCCUCUCUCUUUCUCUCUCGUGCGCUCUCUAAUGGCGGAAGAAGAGAAUAAGACGACGCCGCCGCCGACGACGCCGCCGCUGCCGACGACGACGACGACGACGACGACAACGAAGACGAUCCCUGCGCGCUACGACCUCGAUGCGAAGUGGGACGCGUGCCUCGACCUCUCCAUCCGCCGCGUUGUCUACUCCUCCCUCGCCGGCGCCUUCACCGGCCUUCUCUUCUUCCGUGAGAACCUAAGCGCCCCCACCCCUCCCCAUCUCUCUUUCUCUUUCUCACUCUUAUCCCCCGAUUCGAUCGUAUGACCUAGCCCAAAUCGGUUCCCCCCUUUCGAAUCCGUCGAUUUGGUGCUCAUUUCGGCGUUUUCUGCGAGAUUUCUUUUUUUUUUUUUUUAAUGCCUGAUUAGUUGGCUAGGGUAUUGUCUUACCUAAAAUCUGUUUCCCUCUGCGAACCUCGUCGAUUUGAUGCUCAUUUCACUGUUUUUUGCGAGAAAUUGGGGUUUUCUUGCACUUUUAUGCCCGAUUAGCUGAUUUGGGCGACAGUUUUGCCUAAAAUUGGUUUCCAUCUCUCAGAUUCGGCAUAUUGAUGAUCCUAAUGGCGUUUUGUGUGAGAUAAUUUGCUUCUGUUGUUCUCUUUAGGCCGAAUUGUUUGAUUCAUUUCACAGUUUUAGCAAUUUAUCCGCUUAUUUGCUCUUGCAUAACUGAUCUGCUUCAUAUGUUUCUAAGCAUCUAGUUUCUGUUGUUGAAAUGCUCACUUAUAGGGUUUGAUCAUUCUUUUACUAUUGUAGUAAGUAGAUAUGGCGAGAUUAAUCUGUAUUGAAGCUUGUAAUGUUUGAUUCGUUAUCUGGGUUGUAAUCUUUGUGGGACAUGAUUUGUGUUUUUGGUUCUUUGAUCUAUCACUAUUGUGAUGAUCUUUUGCAUCAUUUAUGAGGGAACAGGAGGAGAGAAAAUUGCUACAUGUAUUCAUCUAUGAAAUAAUGCAUGUGGAAAUAGAGCCAUCAGAAACCAAAUUUUUAUUCUAUGUCUAGGUUAUGUCCAAAUAUAAUGCCCCAGUUGGUAGCUUAGGAGAGUUGGUCCUUAGUUUCUCCAUCAGAGUAUGACAUUCCUUCCUCUCCUCUAUGGAUCAUAGCUGAUUAUUUAAGGUGCAUUAAAUCUUCAUGUUACUGCUUAAAAGGUUAUUCUGUUAUGCUUGAUACUUGUUUUUGCCACUUUAUGUACACUGUUUUACUUUCACUAUCCUUAUUCUCUAUUGUUUCUAUACUGUUAGGGAGCCCGACAACUCGAUGGGCAUCCAUAGCUUUUGGUGCUGGAGCGGGCGUUGGAGCAGCAUACACAGAAUGCUCGUAUCUGUUUGAUGGUUCUGCUCCCAAGUGGUCUCCGCCUCCUAAGGUUUCAACUGUUCAUCCUGCUUCCUCAUUGGUAUAUAUAUAAUUUUUAUUUUUUCCUUCGAUGCUUAUUAUUGAUUUUGUUGUGUUUAUAAUACUUGGUCUAGAUGAGAGAAAGGAAAUAGGAAAUUGGGGUUUAUCACAUUUUCAAUUAAAAUCCUGGUUGAACUGUUCCGAGGAAAAUACUUUCUUGCCUUGCACUGCUGAACAAAUUUUUCGAGUCACUUUUGUGUCUUUAGAAUACUAGUUUUCAGCGGAACUUUCUGAAAAUUUGUGAGAAAAAACUAUACACGAUACUACGCAAAUGUUUCUUAUACACGUCAUCUUCAUGCAUUCUGGUUGUUCUCUCUGACCCGUGAAAUUUCUUCUAUGGUUGCGCAAUAUUGGAAAAUAGUAUGCAAUGAAGAGAUGGUUAUUAAAUGCUGACUAUCUGUUGAGCUAAUUUGACAAAAUCAUGCUAUUAUUCUAUGAGUGUAGUUUUUUGAAUGAUGUAUUUCCUGAUUAUUAAUGCCUAUGAAUUGUUAAAUACAAACUAAUCAGUCUUCCUUAGAUAACAAAGUAUAUACAUGUUGCAUGCAUGUAAUUACUCAUUGUGCUCGGUACUUUUGAAAAUAUAGCAGAAGAAACUGGUGUACGAUUUGUUUUUCUAUUUUACUGGAUUAUAUAUGGCUUUAGAAAAUUUCUAUUUGUAAAAUGGCAACUAUCUAUAAAUUUGUAACUUUUGGAUCCAAGUUUAAAACAGAAAGAAACUCGUAUAAUAUGGAACUUCUAUCUGGUAGUUAUUAUAUAGAUUGACAUUUACAACUUAUAUAUGUGAUGCAGUCUAAUAUUUCUUUAGUGCCAUUUUCCUUUUGGCUAUCACUACCUUUCUAAAAGGGCUAUUAUAAUCCUACUAACAAUCUUAUAUUUAUCAGUUGUUAUUUUUGAGAGUCCGUGCAAUGUUCAUGUCUUAGGAAUGUGAUAUAAAUUUUCUCUUUAUAUAUCACCUAUUUUAUAUGUUUGAUUGGUGCUUGUGUGGUCUGAAUUGAUAUGGUUAUUAAAGGAGAAAUUAAGAUGAUAGAACGAAAAUCUCUAAUUUUAAAGAUUUGUCACUAACAUGCAGAUCAGCCUGGACAUGUUAAUAUCUCAUAAUUGAUUUGAGAGCUUGUAAUAAUGUCUUUUUAAUAAUGGUUACUAAAGAAAAAAGAGCACUAAAUGUUUUCUCAUUAAGAUGAGUAUAAUGUGAAAGCUUUUCUUAAGCCAUUUAAUUUGAAUUCAAGUUGAAGAUUUUUCUUUGUAAUGUUAAUGCGAUCUCUAUUUUUAAAGUAGUACUAAAAUGCAUUUCGAUUCUUUUUUCUUAAGGAUUUAAUGCACUAAAGAGAGAAGCAAAUUAAUCAGUUAUUUCUUUUGUUUUGCUUGGGCAUGGAUUAAUGAUGCAAAAACAAGAAUCAUGUGUUGUAAUUUUGUUAUAUUCUUAUUUACAUAUUUGUUAUAUAUUGAAGUGUGAGUUAUCCACCAUGUAAUUGAAAAUGUGAACUGUCAUAUCCUCCGUAAUGCAUCGUGAAACUAUCAUAUGCUCAUCAAAUUAUGGUGUCUUUGGACACUAUACCAAUUUUUUUCCUUUUAGACUGAAGGCUUUAUAUCUAACCUAUAGGCGGAAAUCUUUUCUUUAUCAGAGAAGUGAACCAAUGAAGUAAAAAAUCCUAACUCCUAAUAUGAAUAUGAUGAUUGUAACACUUAAGAUCUAAAAAAGUCUCUUAACGUUUUGAAAUCGUGUUGAAAUCGUGAUGAAUGGUAGCACUUCCUUUGUGCCACAUUUAUUGGGGUUCAUGUUGAAUUCUUGUAGACUGAUACUGGCUUUUGACAGUAAAGUAACAUCAGUAAUAGUAUUACAAACUGUAUGAAUAUUAUCCUGUGAGAUGUGCAACAUAGAAACUAAAAAAAAACAAUUGAUAUAAAGAAACUGGUGAACAAUCUUGAUAAAAAAAAAAAGUAUAUAGAAUUCUAGCUCUCCGUGCGAAAAUGGAUAAAAUCAACAAAAGAGUGGUUAAUAUACGGAUAUCAACAAUUGAUGUGCGAACAACACAUGUAGAAAAUACUUGAUUGCUUUGAAACUACUUAGAAAUUUCACAUGUUACAUUAUAUGUGGGAGCACUCAGACGCUAUCGAGCAUGAAACCAGAGGAAUUGUGCAAAACGUCAGUGAUACGUAGGAAAUGUAAUAAUGCUGUUUCUUUCAGUUGUAAGGAGCAGUCUGAAUUGAUAGUAAACUUAUAUCACAUUUCUUUAUCCUUCGAUAACAGAAAUAAAAUAGGCAUUUUUUUAGUCAGUGCGAUAUUUAGUUUUUGAACUCUAAAAAACCAAGAAACUUGAACCUCUUCUUACUUUCUGUUCUUUCUGCUUUGUAGGAAGAGAAGUGAAUGACUGAUCAAAAGUCUUUUGGUUAAGGAAUUUUUGAAGGUAUGGAGCAAGAUAUUUCUUUCCUUUUGUAUGUCGGCUUGACCUUACACUGAGGAACUGUAUUUGCUCCUUUGGAUCUGUUAUACUAUUGAGAAUAUGUUUUGUUUCGAGCUUUGUUCAAUCACUGAUGUUCCCUUGUUUGAUUGUCGAAAGCAGCAAUAAAUGCAUGCUAUGUAAACCUUUUGAUAGGUGCCCUUAAACUUUGUGAGAAUAGCUUUAGCAUCAAUGCCAUAUUUUUAUGAACUUUUUUUUUUCCCCCUGAUCAUUAUUCCCUUGCUCUUUGGUGUCAUUUAAGAAAUCUGCCCAAAAUUGCUAUGUGAUAUGGGACUGCUCCUCCCUUGCGAAAUUCACAACAGGAAAAUCAUAUAGGGUUUACACACCUGCAAUACGUGAAAUUGUGCACAAGACUAUGUUCGUAUUCAUAUAUGCGCCCGUAAAACCCUUACUUAUUUUGGCGCAUGGCGUUGCUAGGUAUUUUGUCCAAAACUGUGCGUAUUAUUUGCAGAGCGCACAACCCUGACGGUGUCUAUGUCUAAGUAGACAGAACUUCGGGCUGUAUGUGUACAAAUACCAACUCUGCAGGGCUAUUUCAGUAAUUUCACAUGUUUGAGAGCGGUAUGUUUCUAAUUCUAUUCAGCGAUGUAAAAAGUAGAAGUUUCAUAUCAGAGUUUUUGAGUUUUAGUUUGCGUAGAAGCUCAUUUUUAGCUUCUCAUUUUAGUUAAAAAUUCCGUAUUUCUCUUAUUCAUCAUAGGCUUGUUGCUCGUGCUUUUCCUGCAGGUCUUUUUGUCCUUUUUCAAUCAGUGUAAAAUUCAGAUGUUUCUUUUUCCUUAGCUCAUAUCUAAUUAAUACCCAAGUACUUUUUUUUAAAAAAAUCUCAAGUAAAUGAGGCUAAAAAUACUGGCAAAUGUAUUUAGAUUCCAUGCCAUCAUUUACUUUUCUGUUUCACCCUUCCUGUUCACUCUUUAGAUUCACUCCCAAUUUUGGAUAGGAUGCUUUUGAAGGGACAAAUUUUGCUCUCUCAUAACAAAAAUUCUGAAGUUCAAACACCAGAUGCUUAUAAUCAUCACAAAAUUUUAAUGAAAAUAUUCAAAUAAUAAUAUAACUAAGGGUAAGUUGUACAUUUGGUCCUCAAACUAUGAGGUGAGGUGGGUGACACUUUACUCCCUAUAUUUCACUUUGUGGUAAUCUUUUUGCUCAAACUUUUAAGACUAGUGUAAUUAAGUCCUAUAACUCACUUUAGUUAAUUAAACAUUGAUUUAUCGCUAAUAGUAUUGUGAUUGAUAAUACGCUAAUAAUUAAGAUACUAUUGUACUUUUACAUCAACAAUGUAUUAAUAUUUACUCAAAUAAAUAGGAUUGUGAGAUUUGAUUGUAAUAAUUUUGAAAGCCGGAGUCAAAAAUAUAUAACAAAUUAAAGUUUUGUGGAUUAAAAUGUCAUAGUUUGAGAACCAAAGGUGCAAUUUACUCUAUAACUAAAAGAGCAAAAGAGGGCGAGGCGAGUGUGUGUGGCCAAAUGGGGUUAACCUGGAGUUUGAACAAAUUUUUGAGCAACCAUCAAUUAUAACAGAUUUUUUUUUUUUUUUUUUUUUUUUUUUUUUUUUUUUUUUUUUUUUUAGGUAUGUAUAGGACUUACCUAGAUUAUAGAUUAUUUUGAUUCGGCUAUAUUCAAAUUUUUUAAAAUUUGAUUUUAGAAUCUAAGUUUUUUAAUAUUUUUUAUCUAAAUUAUUUGAUGAUUCUUUUAAUAUAAAAUUUAAAAGUUAAUUAUUUUAAUGUAUUUAUAAUUAUAUGAAUUAUAUUAAAUAUAUUGAUUAAGCAUAUAAAAAUAAAUAAUGCAUUUAAAUUUUAAAGUAAAAUAGUUUUUUGUAACGAUUCGAUCCACCGGUAAUAAUAAUUCGUUGGCUCAAAUCACCGGCUCAAUUAUUAUCACAGAUUCUAACCAUUUAGGUUCUGACGUUCUCGUUAGCCCUAAAUUUGGAAGAGGACUACUCCAAGAUCAUCAGGUGAUGUGAGAUUUAUCUCGCUAGUUUUGUCAUCCUAUUCUAGCUUAGCUUGUCAUCUUGUCAUUCCGACACUAGCUCAGCCGAAAUUUAUUUUACAUUUCUGGUUGGUGAUUGGCUAUGAUAACAUAUAUUUUCGGCUGGUGAUUGGCUCUAAUACUAAAUGUAACGAUUCGGCCCACUAAUAAACAAUAACUCUUGGGUCCAAAGCAUUAACCCAAAGUAUUUUAGCCGAGUUAUUUUUACUAUGAUAAAAAUUUUUUAUACCUAAUGACAAUCCUAUUUUCAUCCGAUAUAGGAUUAUUGGGUAUCAUAUUAUUAAUUUAUUCAAAUUAAAUAAAUUAAAAGAUUAGGGAAUAAAAGAAAAAUUAGGUAGCUAGAUAAAAAUGGGUGGUAAUUGAGGUACGUUCUAUACAUUUUAUUCUUUUUUUAUCUUAAAGAGAAUUCCUUUCAGAUUAAAAAAUGAAAUUGUAUGUAAAGAAAUAAAUAUGAAGAAUCUCCUCUUCUCUUCUCCAAAAUUUAAUUCAAAUUUUGCACAUAAAAAAAAUGUCCAUUAAAAAAAAUUAAUUGACAACAAUUUAUGUUUAAGUGCAAUGAAAAUUUUCUAUUUAAAUCAAUUUAAUUGCACAUUAAUGGAAGUACCAAUAAAAAUUUAAUUCACAAAAAAAAAAUAUUUAUGUUCAAAAUAAAUGUCACGUGCGCUGCACGCUAGUUUAGGUAAAGAUGCAUAAGAAACCCCUUCACUAUAUCGCAUUUUGACAUUACCCCAACAUAUUUUUUUUUGUUCACGACUCUAAACUAUUUAUCUUUUUAGAGCCGAAUAAUUUCAGGGAAAUAAAUUAAAAUUAAUAAUUAACAGCUAAUAACUACUAGAACUAGAAUCACUAAAUUUAAUAAAAUUUUUCAACAUAGUUAAAAUAAUUUAAAUUUUAAAAAAAUAAAACAACUUAGGAAUUGAGGGAAUCUCUACCCCAAGAAACCAGUGAAGUUAAGAGCCACUUCCAAAAUGGUUUAUAAUGAGGGGAACCCUUCCAUAUACAUAUUUACCCUACACUUGUUGUUACAUAUAAAAAUAUUUAAACACCGUUAUCUAAUAGCUUAAAUUUUUCGAGUACAACGACUGUCUCAUAAAAUAUCAGAGCAGAAAAUUCUGAAUUCGAAUCACACCAAACUCCUAACAUAUUAAUUUCCUCCAAUUUAAUUCAAGCAUGCGUCAUGGGCCGACUAAAAAAUCACGAGCCCAGACGUGAGGGGCUCACACUUCUUGGCAUAAAUGCCAGAUAACAACACAACAUUUAAAAUAACAAAGAAAUAAAAAAGAAAAAAAAAAAACUUCUUAUAAGUUAUAAUGCACCAACCCAUCAUCAAUCUACAUCUCUAAGCUCAAACAACAGACCACUGUAUCUCAGCUGCACAAAUCACAUUAAAAAAAAAAAAGGAAAAAAGAAAAAGAAAAAAAAUCCAAACCCAUGCACUUCAAGUAAUUAACCCGCAAGGUUAAUGAAAAGAAGUGAGACAAAAGGUAUAUAAAUAUUUAAGCUACAAUAAAUAAAUAUAAGAAUAUCAGAAGAAACAGGUUUCUAUGUAUUCAGAUAACAAAUAGUGUCUCAAUCACUGAAAUCGGUGCUGCCGCUCUGCGAGCUGCUGCCGUUCCGGCUGUGCAACGACAAGCCUGAGCCGUCGACCCUCUUCUCCUGGAAGAAGCGCUCCCUCUCGACGUGCUUGGCGGGCGGCGGGGGUAUGGAGACUGCGGCUGUCUGCCGUUUGGUUUCGGGGUCUGACGGACUGAUGUUUACCCCCCUAGGCUGGUUCUCAGGAUCGGGUGGUUGUAUGAUUAAGGGGCGAAUAAGGGGCCGGCGCAUCAUUUCCUCGGGUACGGAUUUGUACGACUCGAUAGAAUCGUCGGAGCAGUCUUCCGCGCAAGCUUUCCCUUUUCUUAAUCUGUGGAUUUUUGUAGGAAAAUAGCAUGAUUAACGUCAAAAUCUUGAUAUCGGAGGGGGUAGAAAUGAGAUCUGUGUAUACUGAUGACCACCGAUUUGCCGAUUGAAGAGAAGCAUAAAAUAAUAUUUGGAUUAUACUUUUGGAGUUCAGAAGUUCAUUUCAAGUUCCACAAGAGCUAUGGAAUUUAUAUUUGCCAGCAUACAUCUCUUUAUAGGCAAAGGUAAAGGAUCAAAGAGAAUGAGGACCCCUCUAGAAGAGAUGCAUGCCCAUUUUAGUUACCCUCUCAUUGUUUUCGGCAAAUUUUCGCAUUUCUGUGAUUUAUCGAAAUCUGAAGUCGGCAUCGAUUGUGCAUGCACCAUCAUACCUGAGAUAAAGGCGUUCGGCAUCUUCUUCCUCCUGUUCAUCCUCCUGUUCAUCAUUGAUGCACGAAGCUACGGUAGAGGUCGGACGAACCGAAAGGAGUGCAUCAUGCUGUAUCAGUGCCUCAUGCAGCUGUUCGUUUAGGUCGAUAGCUUGAGUCACAAUAUUCUCAUCCCUAGCAAUAAAAUAAAUACAUCAUAUUAGGAUGUAAAUUGAUGGCAGAAUUCUCCAGAAAGGACAAUCUUGUAAUCGUCGAUAUGUGCUCAAUUGCAGUAUAAUUGAAAUUAAGUCGGGUCUAAUAUGAGAAUCUUACCGCGAUGUCAUAACCAGAUGCAUCACUCGUUGCUUUUGAAAUGAACAUUGCUCUACUAGAUCUAGCACAAACUCAUCUGUUGCUCCCUGAAUAAUAAUAAAAAAUGAAAAAAUACAGGUAAAUCUCAGAUAAGUAAUUCCUAUAAACCAAAUACCUUUCCUCACCAAAUAACAAAAAAAGGGAAAGGGAAAAAGAGCCAACAGGCUCUUAGAAGAAAAAGAAAUAACUUGUUUAGCUGACAAGCAAGGAUUAAAUUGGCGGGGAGAGCGUUAUCGGUUAUCUUCAACACUGCACAAAAAAUGGAAAAAAGUAAGAAAAUUCAAUUAAUAUGUACCUCCGGGCGUUUAGGAUCCAAGGAGUUAAGCACAUCCCUCAGAACUUCCAAGACACUAGCAGCUUUCUGAAUUAUACUGAAAAGAUGAAAAUAUGUCGUUUUAGAAACAUGUCUAGUCUGUGUACAAGUUUAGGUCGAUAACCCGUAUUUAUUUUGUCAACAUUGGGAGUCCAUGAGAGGUUCACACUUUCAUGAGAUAAAAGAAUAUAAACGCAAUACGGCACCUCGAGUCAGGCAUGGCCUGCGAAUUUGUUUGUUUUCCACCGUCAUUUCCUCGGCUAGGCAAAGAAUCUUGAGGAGCUUCGGCUGUUGGAGUCUGUAAUUCUUGUAUGGCAACACGAGGGCGUUGAGGAAAUUGCACAAGAGCAGACUUCAAAGAGGGGGAAAAAAAAUGCUAUUACUUGCAGCUUAAAUUAUACAAAGAAUGCUCUAUAAAGAAAAAGGACCGUUAUAGUUUAUGUACAACUGAAUAAGCUCGACAAAUAAAAGCGAACAAACAAUACGGCUAAUUGAUACAUCUUGCUUAGUUCUUAUAGGCCAAUCUUGGCUAGACAAAAUUGUUUAUGUAUAACUGAAUGAGCUCUCCGGAUAUGAAUGACACAUAAUACUGGAAUAAUCAAUAUCGCCCUGAUUAUAUUCCUCGCUCCAUGUCGUCCGUUGGUUAUGAUGAUAGUGCAAACGAGUUUAAGUUAUUAAACAAACAUGAUAGACGUGGAAAUAUGGGAAAACAAAACAGAAAAGGAGUAAAGAAAUCAAGAAUCGCACAACGGAAGUAGCAUUGAGAUUGAAUCAAAAGAUUAUACUGGCUAUGCAGAACAAAGAAGCAACAAAGUAUAAAUUAAACAUGGAACUUUAUGUCAGGACCUACCACCAAGUCGUAGUAAGCAGCAUAGUAUUGAGGGAAUUUCCCUUUAGCUCCACCUAGGGCCGUUUGAGUGGCAUCGAGAAGAAGAAAUAUUCUUUCGCGUACUGGGUUAUCCGUCUGUUACGCACCAAAAGAAAGAAAAAGAAAAAAUAUCAAACCAUUACAGCAAAAUAUAAUGCAUACGUAAUAGCCUGGAUUAAACUUCCGUUGAAAGAGGCCGAGAAAAAGAAGCAUUCAACCUUUUUCUUCACUAUCUUCACAAGAAUGGGAAGAAGCCCUCUAUCAAUCACCAGUCUGUGGGUGUUCUCUCCGCAGUUAUUCAUAAGCAUUUCUAACAACUGCAACAUCGAAUCGAAAGACAAAAUACGAUUGUUCAUUAUCGUUAGAGUACUCAAAGAAAGAAAAGAGAGUUGGCCAAUUAACAAGACCAUGUUGAAUACAUUUAAAAAGAAAUUAAAAUGUUUUUUUCAUGAUUCAAGAGGAUACUACUGCACACAAAGAAUAAAUGGGCUAUUGGUCUUGUAACAUCAGCAAAACAGCAUGUGCAGUUUAGAGUAAUAGUUUUGGAAAAAUAAAACGAAAGGCGAAACCAGAAACGAAAGUACUUGAGGAAAGAAUACAAAUUUGAAACUCACCAUUACAGCAAAAAGUUGUACAUUUGGGUUCUUGCUCCCUAGUCGUUUCUUAAUGGACUUGAUGACAUCUUUGGCUUGCCUGAUGAUCCAAAGAGGAAGAACUCAAUUUGUUCACAUUGAAAGAUAAAUAAAUGAUCGAGACAAUGUUGAAUCAAUGUUAAAGCUUAUUUGGUCCUACGGGAGCUUCUGCAAAAGUGUUGUUUAAAAAGAGCUGUUAGAAGAAGUGCUAACAACUGUUUUGCUAAAAUCCUCUCAGCUGCUUCUCCACACAAACAAAAGCAAAAGCUUCAAAAUGAAGCCUAUUCUUAUAGGUGGACCCAAAAACUCACUUCAACUUCCCACAAUAGCAAAAUGCCGAGCGUGUUUGGCCCAAAUUUUGCUUCUGCUUUCAGCUGCCACUGUCCCUAAUAGAGUGUUUUUGGCAAACAGAAAUACAAACAAAAAUGUGAUCUUUACGCCCAAAAGCCGAAGAUCCAACAAGGAGCUUAAGAUUCUGCUGCAGAGAGAAACUGUUACCACUACUCAAACAGCAUUUCAUCAAACAACAAUUUUCCCUACAACAGGGCCAGAUAGGCCUAAUAGUUUGCCAAACAAUGGGAUGCUGUUUGUCGGAUUAGAGAAGCUGUUCAAGAAGCCACAUAAACAGGGACCUAAGAUUACAUACCCCGGAUCGCGCGCAACAAGUUCACAUAUUUCAAUGUUCUUUGCCCAAUCGGUCUCCUUUAGCUUAUCGCUUGUCGCCGUUUUCACCAUUUCGGCCGCCAUUUCCCCCACUAAUGCGAAACUUAUCCUGAAAGCAGAAAGCAAAAUUCCAAGACUAGCAAGGUCUAAACAGAAACCCAAUCCUCAAGCCAAAAUGCACUGCUUCCUGCAAAAGCCACAAAGCACAUAUAUAUAACUGAGAGCAUACAACAACAUUAACAACUCUACCAAAAACAGUUUCAAAAUCGCUUCACAGAGAUUGAGAUCCAUCACCAUGCCACAAAACAACCACAAAACUGCACAAAGUUUUCUCUCGACAUACAGAAAAUAUAAAAAAAGAAAAAGAAAAAGGAAAAUUGGAUCUUUCUAAUCACAACCCACUCGACCAACAACAAAACUAUUGUACCAACACCAUCAACAACAAUCUCAACUAUCACCUCCCAUAAACAAUCCAAACAGCAACUCUAACAAUAUAAUUACCAAAAUUAGAGGCCAAAAUUUAGAAAAUAACCCAAUCUAAACCCACCAAGAUCCCACCUUUCCCUCGAAACCAGCGCCCACCCGAGAUCUCCCGAUCAAAACAGAAGCAAAACCUCUUGAAAGAAUCAGAAGUUACCGCAUUUCGACAACUAGGGUUCAGUUCGGUGCCCGCCGGAGUCCACCUCGACCACUACGUCUAGGGUUUGGACCGAGCUAUUGGAGCGGCGGCGGCGGCGGCGGAGGAGGAAGAGGAGGGGACCUCGCCAUCGCCAUGGGAGUUGAGUGAGCUUAUUGAAGAGAGAGAGAGAGAGAGAGAGAGAGAGUGUUUGUGUAGAGAGAGAGAGGUGAAAGGGUUAAAGGAGGGGAAAGGAAGGGGACAGCUCUAGGACAGUCGAUCCCGCAUGUUAAGCACCGUCGCUUGGUGGGGAUAAAUGUAUUGCGUACACCCGGUGUAUGGGUGCACCCCAUGCACCAAUUUUUUUGGAAAAACUUUAAAUACGACCGCAUGGUUUCGUACUUUUUUUUUAAUUUUAGCACCAUGUGGUUUAAUAAAGUGUAUCACUUUAGUAACUGUAGUUUUAGAUUUUUCUUUUUAUUAUCCCUUCACUAAUUAUUUUUUGCUAAAUCAGUAACAAAAUUAAAACUAAAAGGUAUUAAAGUGAAUAUUCGAUAAAUCUAGAUAGGUGUAUCUGAAGUGUUUUGUAUAUAAUUUAACGAAAUGUUAACGGAGAAGCUGAUGAAAAGAGAAACAUGAAAUUACAGAGUACUAAAUUGAUAUACUUUAAACCAUAGGUACUAAUGUGAGAAUGUGUGAAACUACAAAAAUAAUAUUUGAAGUUUAUUUUUUAUUUAUUUAUUUAUUUAUUUAUUUUUGAAUAAACUACCGGGUUCAUACGGAGGAUCGAAGCCCAACCUUUGAGUCCAAGAUCUACAGUUAUAGGGCCUAUUUAUUUUACCAAAAAUAAAGUUUAUAUUAAAAAUAAAGAAAUAAUUGCAUAUAGUUCGCUGAAAAGAUAGUAAAUAAUAAAUAAAUCUCUAUAAAACUUAAGUUAUCAAAUUUGUCCCUUCAAAAAUCCUUCCGUCUGUAAAUAUAUUCUUUUGUUGCCAAAAUCUAGAUAAUCAUGAGUUAAAAAAACUAGUUAGUUAAGAAAUAAAAUGACUUUUUUUUUCAUCUGUUAUAUACAUAAUUUGUAUUUCAAUGUUGAGUCUCGUCGUCUUUCUCACCCUUUUCUUUUUAUCCAUGGCGGUGGCAAGAUCUAUAGCAGCAGCGAUGUUGAAGGCAAGGCCCUCGAUUGAGGCAAAAAUAAGGUACGCCGCACGUGCCACGACGAAGGCUAGGAAAGAGAGAAAAAAAUUAGUUUUUUAAAUGGACAAAUUUAUAAGUGCAAAAUAGUUAUUUUGUGUAUCAAUCAUUAAAAAAAAUAAAGGUGAAUCAAACGGCAUGAUAUAUAUGAAUGAAUUAGAAUUUUUGGAGGGAUAUAUUUGUAAAUCGGAGAGUUUUUAAAAAGAUAAAUUUGAUAACUUAAGUUUUGUAGGAAUAUAUUUACUAUUUGAUACUUUUGCAAGGAUCUGUAUAAAAUUAACCCUAAAAUAAAUUUGAGGUGAACUAGUGCUCAAUUAAAAAAGUAUUUUUUUUGGCCGUUUAUUUGUAUAACUAUGCAACUGAAGUUCUUCUAAUUUUGCCGUCUAUUUUAGCACGAAGUGAACUGCACAAAAGCUAGAAAUGUGAAAGGUGGAUUUUCAUUUUAUUACUUUUUUCCCUCACUUUUUCUUUGGUAAUUGACUAUAGUCUGCAAUCGGUCGAAGUCAAUUACGAUGUUUUGAUAAGUUUUGAAUUUUCGAUCGAAAAUGAAGUUACAAUAAAACAAAUAAUAAAAAUGAGCAUUUAUAACCAAAAAUUAGUUUACUCCUCUCCAUUUUCGGUAAAACAAACACACCCUUAUAUGUUUUGUCGUUAAUACUAUAAAAGCUAAAAUUUUAAAAAAAAUCUUCUAUAAAUAUUUGCUUUUAUAUAUUAUCAUUCUAUCUUUUCAAAAUUUUUAUUUUGCCAUCUUAAAAUUUAAAAUUAUCGCAUUUAAUCUAGUUAACAAUAUGUCACUAUUCCGUUCAUAUAUACGGUGUUGUUCGCUUGAGCAAUUUUAUACUAAGAUACGUACCCUUUAUACUCGUAACAUUUGUAUGAAUACAUCAGUUUUUUUUUAAAAAUUUUUUUCUUCUCAAAUUAAAUAUCUUUAUGAAAAAUGUUUCUACUAUUUACUUAUUAACUUUUUGUUUGCGUCAUUUUUAAUAAUAAAAAUAGAUAUAUCAAUAGCUACCCAGAGCAAUGCCAUAUAAUUUAUGUGUAAAAUAAUAAUGAAAUAGUAACUGCAUGCACGAGAUUAAAUCUAAACUUUAAAUUCUAUGGCUUAAAAAUUAGGCUUAAAAAUUAAAAGAUCAAAAGGUAAAGUAUAAAGACGAAUAUUAACGAAAGAAUUACCUACAUAUUAACCAAUAUAAAUUACUUCAAUAUAUUUUUUUAAAAAAAAACACAACUCGACUUUUUUUAUAUAAUAUCUAUAUAUAUAUAUUUUUUUCAUCUGAUGUGGGAUUAUCAGGCGUCGGAUAAAUAAGGCCCCAUGAUUAGGACUUUGUAGGGGUGCGGUGCACCGUGCACCGGGUGCGCGGAAUAAAUUUCGCGCACCUGGUGGAGUCCACGGGGGUCCACGGGCUAUCUGGACCGUCCGAUGAGAAUCCGUUUGCUCGAGGGUUCGGUCGAUCAGAGCCGCACGAUGGAUCAGGGUGCGGGGUGUUUGUGCGGUGGGGCCCAGGGCCCAGGGGAUUAGCGGAAGAGGGGGGGGUGCACAUGGGUCGGCAACGAGGGGGCCACGUGGCUCAUCUGGAUAAGCUCAGGAGCUUCUAGAAUAACCAUCUUUAACUGCUUCUCCAGGAUUGCGUAAAUUUAUUUAAAUUAUAAAUUAUUUUGAGCCAAUUAUUUAAUUUAUAAAAAUUUAAUUUCACCGUCAAUCUUUUAAUUUAUUUAAUUUAAAUCAAUUAAUAACAUUCUAAUUUUAAAAUUUAAAUAUACCAUUUAAUUUUACAAGUUUUUUUAAAGUUGAAUUAUCGUUGACUAAUUCAAAUCAAAUAAAUUGAAAAAUUGGAUAGUAAGAUUAAAAUUUUAAAAUAUUUGAUAGUCGACUCAAGAUGACCCGCAAUUCAAAUAAGUUCGGUAAGUUUUUGUCUAUCUUUUUAGUAUUUAUUUAGAUCAUUUUUAGAUGUCGGAAUGAAUUAAUUGUAAUAUUUUAUUUAAUAUAAAUUUUUUUCUAUUAUGACCGGGAGUUAAGAGUACAGUUAGGAAUGCAGACGGGAUAGAUUCUGAGGCAGGAGGGGUUUCCCACCUUCAAUCCCAUUUUCUUGGCUGAUGAAAACGGAUUCAAACAAAUUAAUUUUAAUUCUAUUUUUUCCUCUCACUUAUUGUUUCGUUUAGAGAUAGGUUCGGACAUGAGCGAAUUUAUUGCAGAUUGGAUCGGAUCAAAGGAAGGUAGGGGCCUUUCAUCUUCUACGUUAUAUUUUUUAGUUGAUCGGGAUGGAUUCGGGGCAAAUUAUUUUUUUCUUUAAUUUUGGUCUCUACUUACCUCUCUAUCGGACGAAUUAGGUCAGAAAGUCCACUAACCCGGAUCAAUCUGCAUUGCUAAAUAUAGUCACAUAUCUAGGCAAGAAUAGAUUAUAUUAUAAAUAAAAUGUGCCAUCCUAUUAAAUUAUGCAUGUCAUAUUCUUUCUAGAAGAAAAAAAAAAUUACACUGAUAUCUUUUAGGUAUUUAUGAAAUCAGAUAACUUAUUCUGAUAUCUAAAUAAAAUAUAUAGUCCAUAAGAAUCUCCUAAUAUCGUAUUUUAUAAUUUUUGAGACCGACAAACUUAUUUCAGCUUUUCUGCUAGCGAAAAUUUCUCUACUCCAGCAAACAUGUGACGCAGGGAAAGCUGUUCUGGAGCAAAGUACAGAAGCUUAAUAAUUAGUAUUCGUAUUUAAUGCGUUGGUGGAAUUUAAUAAUGAUUUAGGUGUACCUUUCUAUGUUUGUGGCUAUUAUUGCUUAGGGCAAUAACAAACCCAUAUUUUAAAGUAUUAAUAAAUUGCAUGUUUUGUCCUUAGGGGCAUUUGGUUUGCUGUAAAAUCACUUCGAAAAAAAAAAAAAAAAAAAAACGGUGGAAAAGUGAAUUUCCAGUGUUUGUUAACCGUAAAAAAUUUUUUUUGGAAAGCAUGUUGAAUCCCACGAGACGUUGGGAUGCCGAGGCGGGAUGCAGCAAGUGCGCGGUCCACGAGGGACACCCCACCUCCUGGGAGAGAGAGAGGUCCACGAGGUCCACAGUGGACUUCCAUCUUUUAUAUAUAUAUAUAUAUAUAUAUAUAUAUAUAUAUAUANNNNNNNNNNNNNNNNNNNNNNNNNNNNNNNNNNNNNNNNNNNNNNNNNNNNNNNNNNNNNNNNNNNNNNNNNNNNNNNNNNNNNNNNNNNNNNNNNNNNCGCUUCCGAAUAAGUUCAAAUUAUUAUUUGAAUAUUUACGUUUAUCUGUAAGUUCGAUUUUAUCUUUAUUAUAAAAUUAUUUAGAUUUUUAAUUACAAUCAGAUUUUCUGUGCGGUAUUUGUUCCUACAUAUUAAGGUGUAUCAACACACACAUAGAUAUGCCAACUAUUCCUAGCACAAAUGGCAUGGUAAAAGAUUUAAUAGUCGGUAUCCGAAAUUUUAAAUUUGAAAUCUAGUUGCUUUACAUUUUUAACUAAAUUUAUUUUUUAAAAAAUAAAUAAAGCGGAUAGCAUGCUAUUUUUUUUUCUUAAAAAAAAACACACAUAGAUAUAUGUGACGCUCCACUUCCUAAAAAGUCACUCAUCUUAAAACUACUUUAGCCAUAAUACGCUUAACUCUCUUAAUCUGGAUGAAAAGAUAAAGUGAUGGAUGAAAAAUAUUUCGUACCAUCGGAGUGUAAAACUAAAUUUUGUCUGCAUAUUUAAAAUAUUAUUAUAAAAAAUUGAAUUAUGUAAUUUUUUAUCCAUAACUUUUUAUAUGAUUUAUAUUGUAUAUAUUAAAAAUAUAUUUUAAUUUUAUAACAUUAAUUAGUUAAAAAUAUGUUGUAUAGUAAAAGAUCAGAGAGAGGGAGAGAGAGAGAGAGUCUAGAUGGUAAAAAAACAAAAGAGAGAGAGAGAGAGAGAGAGAGAGAGAGUCUAGAUGGUAAAAAAACAAAAAAAAGGCCCCACACCACUCCCGACGUGGAGAAUGGGAGAGAAAGGGAAGAAUUGGGAUGGAAAAAGAAUGUUGAAUUUCCCUCUGGCCAAAUUAGCGUGAGAGAACACCAUGUUGAAUUUCAACGAAACAAAAGUGGACCCUACCCCCUUACCCCUUUCUUUGGCUCAAAUCAACGUGGAGAAUGGGGAAGAGAGAAGAAUUGGGAUGAAAAACAAAAAAAAAUGGGCUCCACUCCAAGUCUCCGACCCGCAUUUGUCCAAAUCAACAUGGGAGCGCGGCUUUACUUACUUUUUUUUGUCACUUUUUCAGAGGUCCUAGCUGCUUUCAUAAUAUACGCUUAGUUCAUACUGCUUGAUGAAUAAAGCAGAUAGCUUGUUAUUUUUUUCUCAAAAAAAAUAUGGGAGCGUGGCGUUCGAUUUCAUCUAGGUUUUCUAUAUAUAUUAUUAUAUAGCGUAAAUUGAUGUAAUGCAGUAAUGCACCACUAGAUUGGUGCCGGUAAUAAUUUAUUAUAGUUGAGACAAAAGAGAGAGAUGGUGGAAGAGAAAUAUUUCGUACAUUGGGAGUAAAAAUAAAUUUUAUAUAGUAUAUUUCUAUAAUCUCAUUAUAAAAAAUUUAAAUUAUAUAACUUUUUACACAUAGAUUUUUAUAUUAUUUAUAUUUUAUGCAUUAAAUAUAAACUUUAAUUUUAUAAUAUUUAUAACUUAAAAAUAAAUUGUACAGCUUUUUGCUGAGAAAGAGAUUGACGGAGAAUAAAAGCGAGAGAAGAAUUGGAUAGGAAAAAAAAAAGUGGGUCUCACCCCACCCUCUCCACCCUGGUCAACAUAGAGAAUGGGGGAGAGAGAAGAAUUGAAAUGAAAAAAAAAAAGUAGCCUCGUCCUAACCUGUUUUGCACAAAUUAACAUGGGAGCGCCACGUUGAAUUUCCACUGAAGUUUAAUAUAUAGAAGAUAUAUGAAAUAUGUAGACUUUUUGAGGAAAAAUACUAAAUCUACAACCUAAAGAAUUAUAGUCUCUACGAUCUCUAAAGAAUUAUAGUCUCUACAAUCUCUUAUUCAAUGAUCCUUCGAUCUUAUACCACUUUUUCUAGUACUUAGUGGCAAGAUUUGUAGAAAAAAAAUAUCUUUUGUAUUAGUAAAAUGGUAAGAUUACAACUGAAAGUGUAUGUAACUUUGUUAGUUAAUUCGCGAAUUAUUCGCGAAUUUUUGAAGAAACGUAUUAAACGGCCGUAUUCGUAAUUUUUCGAAAAUUCGAAAAAAAAAAACGCAUUUUUUGGUCAAAAAUACUUAUUCGAGAAUAAUUCGCGCGCCGAAUUAUUCGCCAAAAAUACAGUCCUCGCUCGUAUCCGCGCCCGCGCUCACGCUCGGCCCGCGCUCACGGGUCGCGGGCCUCACUGCUCGCGCAAAACAGAAAAAAUAAAAAAAACCCUUUCCAAACAAAAAAAAAUCCUUUCCGAAAAAGGAAAGAAACAAAAUCCUUUCUGAAACAGAAAAAACCCUUUUGCUUAGCACAAAACAGAAAAAAUUAAAAAAAAACCUUUCUGAAACGUUCGCCCCCCUCCCCCCACCUAAAAAAAAAAUCACUCGAUCAAAAAAAUUUAAUCUCUUAUGGACUAUCUAAAUCUCUUAUUUAUUUAAUUAUUUAUUUAUUUUGAGGUAUAAUAUAGUUUGCUAUUUUUUUACUUAAUUAGCUUAAUUUUGUAGCUCUUUAUUUUUAUAUUCUUAAGGAAUAUAAGUAUUUAUGCUAAUAGCAUAAAUCUUGCGAGAAAAAAAAACUUAAUUUAAUAGCCGAAUUUUUAAUAGGUGAACAUAUAAUAUCCGUAUAAAUCAUGUAUUCGAAUAAUUAACGAAUUUAUUUUUUAGCCAUAUUUUUCAACGAAUUUAAAAAUUAGAAGACGAAUUAUAUCCAUACCGAAUUUUUGCCGAAUCCGAAUUAAAUAAUUAUGGUAUGUAUAGCAUUUUUCUUUUAAAAAAACCUUAAGGGGGCUAUUUCAGAAUAUACAAUCGGUUAGGGGUCUACGUACAUUUUUUUUGUAAAAAAUUAACAUCAAUAAUUUGAUCUGUUUCGUCGACUGGUCUCCUCGUCGACUGGUCUCCUCGUUUACUCCAGUCGCCUCUACAAACGUCAAUCCACUAAUUGUCCACCAAUUUCCACCAAUUUCUUUAUCACAACAAAUUUGAUGGUUGUAUUGAAAUAGCGAUGGAUUGCACGAAUAUACUGUUAGUAGAUGCCCUUAGUCAGCCACUUGGUUCAUUUUUUACAAUACGCAAAUGUGCAGUUACAAUUAAGUGGCACUAUAAAAAACUUUCCAUGUAAGGAUGUUUUUUAAAUAACAAUUAGAAAAGCAUCUUCAAGCUCCCUACAAUAUAACAAAUAUCGACAUUUCAAAAUAAGUCGUCAUAUAAAUCCUCUAUUACAACAAACCAAUUUAUUAGAUGAUAUACUUCAUUAUUAUUUUUAAUUUUUUGACACUUUAAAGCGUCAAGAUUUCAAAAAAUUCUUAAAAAUUCUAACAUUUUAAAGCAUCAUAAUAUAUUUUAUCGACGCUUGGUAUAAGCGUCGGUAUGUAAGUGGCGCCGUUUUAACAGACGCUUUUAAAUGUCACGUUAAGCUAUAUUAGGACGAUUUUAAGCAUCAUUAAAUAUAAAAAAAAAUCAUGUUUAAAUGUUAAUUUUUUUGUAGUGUGGCCUUAGCUAUCUACUUCGUUUAUUUUUUACGGUGCAUGAAUAUACAGCUACAAAUACGAGUGGAUGGUUUUAGCUACCUGCUUAGCUAAAAUAUAAAGUAAUUAAAUAUCUCAAACAGAAAAAUUCGGAUACUAAUAAUUAUUAAGCAUUUAACGAAUUACCGUUAGUGACAUUUUGCAGAAGCAAUGUGGUACUAGGCACAGAAGUAUUCUCACACCAUGGUAUUACUACCUUACAACAACUAAAUAGGAUUUUUGACUAAGCGUGGAAGGUAGUUUGUUAUCUAUCCAGUGGCCAAGAUUAAACACCAACCAAGAGCUACUGCAGGAUUACUAUGGCUUUAGCUUCUCUUGUCUUAGUUCGUAGAAUGGAAGGCUUUUUCCAUGCACUAUUUUUUCUCAUCAAUCUACUAUAUGUGAUGUCCGCCGCCUGGUGCACCGCCACUGCCGCCGCCGGGAUCAAAGAAGCUGCAUCCGACCGCGCCGCCCUCCUCUCCUUCAAGUCGCUCAUUGACGACGAUCCGUUCGGAGCGCUCUCCUCGUGGAACAACGGCUCUCUCCACUACUGCAGGUGGCGCGGUGUCUCCUGCGGCCGCCGCCAUCCCGACCGGGUCACGGCCCUCGACCUCAAGUCUCUCCGCCUAGCCGGUUCCGUAUCACCCUCCGUAGCCAACCUCACAUUCAUCCAAAGGAUCGAGCUGUCCGACAACAAGCUAGACGGAAGCAUCCCGGAGGAGCUAGGAAGCCUACGCCGGCUGCGAUAUCUCAACCUGAGUGUGAAUUCUCUUCGCGGAAUGAUCCCGUCUUCUCUAGGCAAUUGCUCUAAUCUUCGACUACUCAACUUGAGAUGUAAUAAGCUCAACGGUGAGAUCCCGCCAACUCUAUCGCGUCUUUCCAAUCUUAGAGAGCUUCGCCUGAGUUGGAACACGUUACAAGGGACGAUCCCAGAUUCACUUGGGAAUCUUUCUUCUCUACUCUCUCUUUCUUUAGGUAACAAUAGCUUGUCAGGAGCCAUGCCUCCAUCCUUCGGUGGCCUUCUCUCGUUGAAGAUUCUUGAAAUCCAAGAGAAUAGUCUCACGGGAACCAUUCCGCCCAGUCUCACAAAUCUCUCCGCUCUGAACGUGCUUGCGCUACGAAGAAACAAACUUCAUGGUGAAAUUCCCCAUUUUGCAGAACUCCCAUUCCUCUCUUACCUGGACUGCUCUUAUAAUUAUCUUUCCGGGACGAUCCCAAUUUCGCUCGGACAACUUUCAUCUCUCAAAUAUCUCAUUCUCGGGAUGAACAACUUAACAGGGGAAAUACCGUCAUCCCUUUACAAUCUAUCAUCCCUGAAGGGCUUAGAACUCAUUUAUAACCAGCUCGAGGGAACUCUACCCUCCAAUAUCGGAAAUGCUCUUCCGAACCUUCAAGUCCUUCGUAUGUAUGGAAAUCAGCUCGGGGGGCAAAUUCCAGCAUCCUUGUCCAAUGCUUCUGAGCUUUGCGACCUUGAGCUAUCACUCAAUGCAUUCCAUGGCACGAUACCGCAGAGCCUUGGAGCCUUGCAGAGCCUCUUGCGGCUCAUACUGACCGUCAAUCGACUCGAAGCCAGGAAUCCUAGUGACUGGAGCUUCAUUAAAGCACUGACCAACUGCACCAGUCUCCAAGUGUUGGCACUAGGACACAAUCAACUUCAAGGCACACUGCCCAAAUCACUAGUCAAUCUUUCCACUAGUCUUAAUGUUUUGGUAAUCGCCAACAACCAAAUAUCAGGAAUUAUACCUACUGAGAUUGAGAAGCUCAUCAAUCUAACUAUUCUUGCCGUGAAUGGUAACGACCUUCGAGGCACCGUUCCCAUAGAAAUCAGUCAUCUUUCGCAAUUACAGUACUUGGAUCUGUCGAACAACAUGCUUUCAGGCGAAAUUCCUCCCACUUUGGGCAACCUAACACGAAUGGACAAGCUCUAUCUUGGCAACAAUGAAUUUGAAGGAGCCAUUCCGCUGACAUUAAGCAACCUGUUAAUGCUAGAGUUGUUAGAUCUAUCAAAUAAUAGGCUAAGUGGUAGUAUUCCUAAAGAAGUUUUGACCCUUUCAUCACUCACAAUCUUCCUUGACUUGUCGCAUAAUUUACUGAACGGUUCAUUACCGUUGGAAGUGGGCAACUUGAUAAAUAUCUGGGGUGUUAAUCUCUCAAAUAACAGGCUCUCUGGUGAGAUUCCAGACACCAUCGGCAAAUGCGUCAUCUUGGAAAAUCUUUAUUUAGAGAAUAACUUAUUUCAAGGAUCCAUUCCUCCCUCCAUCAGCAAUUUAAGAGGGCUUGAGGAGCUUGAUCUCUCAAAAAACUUCUUUUCAGGCCAAAUACCGGCAUUCCUAGAUGAGCUCCCGGAUCUACACUACUUAAAUCUCUCCUUCAACAGUUUUGAGGGCCGAGUGCCGAUGAAAGGGGUCUUUAAGAAUGCGAGCGAAGUUUCGCUUAUCGGAAAUAGUAAACUCUGCGGCGGAAUUCCAGAAUUACACUUGCUGAAAUGCACUUCAGAUGCCUUUGCAACAAAACAUCACUCUGAUUAUAAAGUCAGAGUAAUACUCAUUCCUAUAUGUGGAGCUAUUUUGUGUUUGAUUAUAAUCAUGUGCUUGCUUGGGAUACAUCACUUGAUUAAAAACUCACAGAGAAAGCCGCUGUCGAGGUUUUCCUUAAGAAACCGAUAUGCAAAAGUAUCUUACGAUGAGCUCUUGAAGGCUACAAAUGGGUUCUCCUCAGAUAAUCUGAUCGGCACGGGAAGUUUUGGGUCGGUUUAUAAAGCUGCCAUGAACUAUGAAAACGCUGACAUCGUUGCGGUGAAAGUGCUUAACCUUCAACAGCAUGGGGCUUUCAAAAGUUUUAUGUCUGAAUGUGAGGCCCUCAGAAGCAUUCGACACCGAAAUCUUGUCAAAAUUCUUACAUUGUGCUCUAGUUUGGAUCACCGUGGUAACGAUUUCAAGGCCUUGGUUUUUGAGUACAUGCCUAAUGGGAGCUUAGAAGAGUGGCUACAUCCAAAUGCAUGCCAGAAUAGGCCAUUCAGAAGCCUAAGUCUAAUCCAGAGGUUGAACAUAGCUAUCGAUGUAGCCUCGGCAUUGGAGUAUCUUCAUCACGGAGGGUCCGUGCCGAUUGUUCACUGUGAUCUUAAGCCCAGCAACAUCCUUCUUGACAAUGAAAUGACGGCGCACGUGGGCGAUUUCGGGUUAGCAAAGUUUCUGCGGCAACCGCCUGACGAAUCAUCAGAGCGUUCAUCUACCAGCAUUGUGGGGAUCAAAGGAUCUAUUGGUUAUGUUCCUCCAGGUGAGAAAUAUGCAAUAAAAUUCUAACUUUUUUCAUGCUUUACGGCAUUUUAGAAAAAAAAAUAUAACACAUUUUUAGUUGAUUCCUAAGUAUACUAUAUCUAAUGUUUUUUGCUGCUCAUUAUUGUUUGAAGCAAAAGCAAAGUGAAUAGCAAAAGUUUAAUAAAUAAAAUUGAAAAUUUAGUAUAAAAAUUAGUAGAAAAGAGGGAAAAAAAUAUUGUGGGAAAUAAAAAGGAUACUAGAUAUUAGCUACGGCCUAUGAAAACCGACAUACUAGAGUUAGAAUAAACUGCUUGAUGCUUACUAUUAAAAACUGAUUAAUUAUAAGCGCUAAACACGCUUGAGCUAGAUCUUUAUUUCUGCAUAUCUAAUGCUAUUUUAGAUUCGAUUUAUAACUAUGGCUUGGAAAACAGUUGAACGAAAUCCAAACCCAAAUGAAUUCACCUGACAAUCUGGUAUUAUUUUUUUCCCAAUUGACUAAUGUUGUGCAGAGUAUGGAAUGGGCUGUAAACCAUCUAGGCUCGGCGAUGUGUACAGCUACGGAAUUCUUCUGCUGGAGAUGUUCACUGGAAUGAGCCCCGUCGAUGACAUGUUCAAAGAUGGUCUGAGCCUUCGUGGAUAUGUCCGUGCCACUGCUGCUUUUCCUGAACAUCUCAUGGACAUUAUAGGCAGAAAACUGCACUCAGCUGAUAAUGAUAUAGCUUACCAAGAAGAGUGUGUGCGAGAUUGUGUGGUUUUGGUGUUCGACUGCAGUCUCUCGUGCUCAAAUGAAUUGCCAUAUGAACGAUGCGACAUGACGAAAGUCUUAAAGGUGCUGAGUGCAGCAAGAGAGAGGCUUCUUAGCUAAAAGCUGUUUUUCUCCCUAUGCUACGUUUCUCACUAGAGGCAAAUGAAUGUAUGUUUGACCAUCCUCUGCUUUUCCUUAUUUGCAUUUAAAAAAUAACCUUGUGUAAUGAAUAUGCCUAGUCCUUAUGGUUUUGAUCAUUCCUUUCUAAAAUGAAUAUAACCAAAAGCAGUUAAGCACUUCAAUUUAUUUUUGCAUCUGUAUACAUUAAUAGCUUAAAAUUCCUAAUUUCUGGCUCAAGUUUAUAACUGAAGCCUAAUAUAACCCAUCAUUGCCAAAUCUCUGUUGAAUACAUUUUUCAACAGAUAGCUCCAACCCUAUUUAGAAGGUUGUAUAGACAAAUUUUGGAUUUUAAGCACAAACUACAGAAAGAUCAUAAAUAGUAUGAUAGAAGGAGAAUAUUGACCAAGAAAAAUUAAGAGGCAUUUACAUUCAAACAAAGCAUCACAUACAAAAGCAAGAAUCCAAUGCAAGGGACCACAAACACCGAAAAACGCAACUAUCACCCAAAGUAUUUGACAUUCGAAAAAGAACACCAGAUACGUACAUAUACCACCCCUCCGGUUCGCGUCCAACACCAUCAUCUCCGCCUGCGCCCUCAGUUCGUUCAAAACGUCCUCAUACUAUAUACCAAAUACACCAACAAGUGAAACUCAAAUUCACGAAUCAAAAUCAAAUUUUGAGAAGAACCCAGAUCGGGAAAUGGGGCAGGGACCUUAUCGGAGUAGGUCACGGACUCGUCGCCGAGCACGACGUCGCGGGGGCCGUCGAAGGCGACUGCGGUGGAGGCGGUGUAGACGACGCGGCGCACGCCGCACUCGAUUGCGGCGGAGAUUAGGGUUCUGGUGGCGCCAAUGGCUAGGGCGUGGAGUUCAGAGAAAUUGGGAGGUGGUGGUGGAGAUAAUGGAGGAGGAGGAGGAGGAGGUGGUGGUGACGGGAUCGAUGUGGAAGACGACAACGGAGCCGGAGAGGGCGGGGAUGACCUGGGCCCGGUCCGAGGAGGUGAAACGGGCCGGGAGAAUGUAAUGUACCUGACGAAUCGCAGCCGCCGAUGAUGAGAUUGCUCUGAGGCUUGGUCGGCGAUGAGGAUGAUGGUUGGAUCGGAUUAGAGAAAUUGAGAUAAUUGAGUGACAGAAGGGAAGAAGAAGAGCAGAGGAAGAGUUUAGAGAGCUAGAGAAAGAGGAGAGUUGGGGAGGAAUAAGGGUUUGGAGAGGUUAGAGGCAGGUUGAGGGAGACGAGGGCAUGAGACUGCGAGAGAGAGAGACAGAUGAGACGUAGGAGAAUUGGGGAGAAGGAAAAUACUAAUUCCGUUUUCAUUACAUCAUGGUAUUUAUACUAAUGAUGGAAAGCAAAAACGCUAUUCUAUAGGGACUAAACAGCAAAGGUGGUAAAAAAUAGAAGCAUGGGCUUGAUAGGCCGCUAUUCGGCGCUAUUAUGGGCCCCCGCCUGGGCUUCACUGGUCCAUGAGCUCUUCUUGUAACCGGUGAGUGAAUAUCGGGUCGCCUUCUCCGCACUAUCCUCCGCCCGGCGGGUAGCGGGUCCGCUUUUUCCAUCCGAUCCAGGAAUCGGGUCAUCCGCUCCGCUGGUAACCCGGGUCAGAGGGUUAUCGAUUCGUUCCCUCCGCGGAACCUUCAUCCUGCGGAUAUUGGGUCCGCAUUUUCCAUCCGACCCGGAAUCGGAUCGCCCGCUACCCGCUACCGAAAUAUUACCGCUUCCUCCGCUCUCCAGAUCCUGCAGGAUUUCCCCUCUUACUUCGAUCCUCCCUCCUCUCCUUCCGAGCAUCCAGGAUGCCCUAGCUCCGCCGCUCCGCCGCUCCACCGGAGUUCCACCCGAGCGACCUCGCGCCGCCGGAGUUCCGCCAGGCUCGCCCUUCCUCGACUUGCUGCGGCCACUUAUCUCUCCCAUUUUGUAAAGUUAUCAUUUUUAUUACCUUCCUCUGCUAACUACUGAACUACUAAUACUUCAGGUCAGGUCGUUACAGAAAACCUGGUUGGUGGACCGGACCGGGAGAAGGGGAGGGAUCGGCGACGCGGACUGUCCAGUGGCCGGGAGAGACGAGCGCGGCGCCGAGGGAGCGGCCGAGGAAGCUGGACCGGCCGAAGGUGACGGCAAAGGGGAUCCGGUUCGGCUCCGCUGCGAGUGGACCGGGUUCGGAGCCAUUGAGGGGGAUUGAAGGGGAUAGAGAGGGAGAGGGUAGGGGGAACGAGGGAGAAAGAGAGAAGAAAGGGUAACGAGAAAGAUAGAGCGGCGCCGUUAAGUGUUCGUAACGGCGUUUCUCACGCACGCGCUCGUGACGACCCGUUCCGUACCAAAUCACAUACAAUUGAAUCAAAAUUUUCAAUUAUAUGAUUCAAAUUUAGUGAUGCAAAACCGAUAGUCUCUAAAGCAAGUGACAAAGAGCUUGGUGGUUGGUAUCUAAAAUUCAAGUUCGAAUUCUAGUUGAUUUACAUUUCUAGCUAAAUAUAUUUCUGAAUAAAAUAGACGAAAUCUCAAAAAAAAAAAAGAAAAAAUAGUGAUGCAAAGGGCGCGGAGAUCCGGCCCUCCUCCCGGCUCCCACUACUAAAAUUCCGUCCCACCUCCGCCCGGAAUCUGUAACAAAUUAGAAAAAUGAAUCUCCUAAUUCGCUAAGUCUCAUAACUUAUUUUUUGGUAGCAUCUCGAAUUUGUCCCAACAACAAAUAUUUUUUUAUAAAUUAUAAUAUUAUUAAUAUAUAUAAUUAAUAACAUCAAUUAUAAAAAUUAAGAAGAUCAAUCACGGUUCAAAGAACAAGUCAAAAAUUUCAAAUAUAUGAGAAAUAAGAACAUCAACUUAUUUUAUUUUGAACUUUUUUGUGAACAUAUUAUUUUUUAAAAAAUUAUGUUACUAUACUAUCAAUAAUACCAAUUUUUUGGUACUAUCGAGUUUUCAGCUGUUGAAUGAAAGGAUGUACUGUUAGGAUAAUAGUGGUCCUUUAGGGUUGAGUAAGUGGCUGGCUGAAUAGUAUAAUCUAACGAGUGAAAAUGAUUAAAAAAAAUAGAUUUUACGAUAGAAAAAUUGAUAAUAGCAAGAACUUGAUAUUAUUAAUAGUAUAGUAGCCGGACUUAUUUUUUUAGAGAUAUUUUCUUAAAAAAAUACAUCUUAUACGUCGCAUUUUUACAACUUCGUUGUAAAAUUUUAAAUUCUAUAAAUUUUUAUAUAUAAACUUUUUAUAUAGUAUAGAUUGUAUCUAGCAAAGUAGAUUUUAUAAUUUUAUAAUAUUAAAUUUUAAAAAAUAAUUUAGUAUAUGUAAUGUACCAAUAGACUAAGUGCUGAUAAUAAUUUAUUAUAGUUGAGAAGAAAAGAUAAAGUGGUGACUGAAAAAUAUUUUGUACCAUUGGAGUGUAAAAUUAAAUUUUGUAGUCUACAUUUCUAAAAUAUUAUUAUAAAAAUUUAAACUAUGUAAUGUUUUAUCCAUAACUUUUUAUAUAAUUUAUAUAGUAUAUAUUAAAUAAUAAAUUUUAAUUUUAUAAUAUUGAUUAGUUAAAAAUAUGUUGUAUAAUAAGGUACCGUUUGGUUUGGGUAUAAAGAAGAACUAGCUAUUACAGAAAUAGAUACAAGUAUGGGGAUAAAAAAAAUAGUAUUUGGAUGAAAAUUAGGUUAUUCCUGAGGAUAAGAAAAAUAGCGUUUGGAUAGAUAAUAUAGAAUAAGAAAAAUAGUAGGUAGUUAUAUAUAGAAAAUGAAAGUGUUGUUGGGAAUAGUUAUACCAGCUUAUUUCAGGUACCCAAGAACUACUAUUUUCGGAUAAAAAAUUAGCAUUCAUGGGUAUAAAGGGGAUAAGGAGUUAUUCCACCCCUUAUUCCCAAUCCAAACGGGGCUUUAAUGAGAUUGACGGAGGUCGAGGUCGAGAGAGAGAAAGAGAGAGAGAGAGAGAGAGAAAAGGAGAAUCUAGAUGGUGGAAAGAAAAAGACCCCCACCCCACUCCUAUAGAGAGAGAGAGAGAGAGAAAAGGAGAAUCUAGAUGGUGGAAAGAAAAAGACCCCCACCCCACUCCUGACGUGGAGAAUGGGAGAGAAAUGGGAGAAUUGGGAUGGAGAAGAGAAGGUUGAUCCUACUCUAAUUCCUUCGGGUCAAAUUACCAUACGAGAACACUAUAUUGAAUUUCAACAGAAAAAAAGUGGGCUCCACCCUCCUCAUCCCUUUCUUCCGCUCGUAUCAACGUGGAGAAUGGGGAAGAGGGAAAAAUUGGGAUGAAAAAAACGUGGGCUCCACUCCAACCCUCAUUUGUCCAAAUCAAUCUGAGAGCGCCGUGUUCCCUUUCAACUAGAGUUUCUACAUACAUUAUAUAUUGUAAAUUGAUGCAAUGCACCAAUAGACUCAGUGCUGGCAAUAAUAAUUUGUUAUAGUUGAGACAGUAAAGAUAGAGUGGAGAAAACGAAAUAUUUGGUACAUCUGGUGUAAAAUUAAAUUUUAUAUACUAUAUUUCUAAAAUCUCAUUAUAAAAAUUUAAAUUAUAAAACUUUUACACAUAGCUUUUUAUAUUAUUUAUAUUGUAUGAAUUAAAUAUAAAUUUUAAUUUUAUAAUAUUCAUAAGUUAAAAAUAAAUUAACGUGGAGAAUAAAACAGAAAGGAGAAUUGGGUAGGAAAAAAAACUCCUCCAGAAUCAACGUAGAGAAUGUAGGGAGAAUUGAAAUGAAAAAAAAUGGGCCCAUCCCAACCUGUUUUGCGCAAAUUAACGUAAGAGCGCCAUGUUGGAUAUAUAAAAUAUGUAGAUUUUUUGAGAAGAAAUGCUAAAUCUACAACUUAAAAGAAUUAUAGUCUUUACAAUCUCUUAUUCAAUGGUCUUUCGAUUUUAUCCCACUUUUUCUAGUCCUUAAUAGCAAGAUUUGUAGAAAAAAGAUGUCUUUUGUAUUAGUAAAAUGAUAAGAUUACAACUGAAAGUGAGUUGAAUGUACGGAGACAUCCUUACGUAUAAGUAAUUCUGAAUUUGCUUCUAAAUUUUUAUUAUUUUGUAUUGAGAAUCGUUCCAUUUUUUAUUUACUCUAAAAUUAAGUGAUUUAAGUCAGAAAAAAUAAUUUUUUUUGCCAAAUUAACCGAUGAUUUUAUUAAAUUUAAUAAAAAAAAAGACUAAUUAACCGUUAAUAAGUAAUAAAGUUAUUAAAUUUGAUAGCUAAACUAAGUAUGAAAACUCAAAUAAAAAAAAUGACAUGGAGGGGCUCUCAAUAAAAAAAAAAUAUAAAUAUAAUUAAGUGAGUUAUUUCAAAAUGCCUAGAAAAAUGUUCAUAUAUUACUUAUCUAUUAAAAAUCCAUCUCUCACUAAUUGUUUCUAAUGCAAAUGGUAAAGUGAUGAUUGGUACUCAAGGUCAUAAAUUUGAAAGUUAUUUAUUUUAUAUUUUUAAUUAAAUUUAUUGUUAAAAAAUUAAACGAAGCGCGUGCACUACACAUUUCCUUUUAUCCAAAAUUAUUUGGUUUAUCAAAAUACCUAACGGCAUUCAUUUCUAAUAGGAAAAAAAAAAUGUCAAACACUUUCUAAAUUAACUUUAGAGAGUAGGCAAAUAGAUCCUUGAGUUUUAAAUUUUGACAACUAGACAAUCUAAACAUUAUCAAAUAAUUCAAUCGCCCUUCCUCUAUGGAAAAGUAACUAAUUAAAUGUCCAUUUUCGACCUAUGCCUUGUGUGUGAUCUUAUAAAGCUUCAAAAUAUAUUAAAAUUCGCCUUUUCUUAUUCUAACGCUUGAGAAAAGUAAUAAUUAAAAUGAAAGAUGGAUUUAAUCUGUAUAUUCUUCAAUCUGUAGAUCUUAGUUUUAUCACGAAGAGAGAAGAAAUGGUUUUUUUUAUUUGUUGUAUUCUUGAAACUUUGCAAGAUCAGAUUUGCAAAAUAUGUUACCAAACUCUUGAGAAAAUUGACCAAUUAAAUUAUUUGAUAAUUUUAGAAGAUCUAAUUGCUAAAUUAAAAAUUAGAGGGUCAUUUGACAAUAGUUUAAAGUUUAGGAGUUUUUAUGCAUUUAUCCCUUCCAAUUUUAAUACAUCUAUACGUAAAAAUGUACGGAGAUUCGGUCGUAUAGGCCAUUUUGAAAUUUGUUCCCUCCAUGUUUAUUUUAUUUGGAUUGAGACCCCCCUUCACUAUUGAUUUUUCAAAAAAGUGAUAUUUCUGUUCUUCUAAGGGCAUCUGCGCAAAUACAUGCCUUCAGAAGGGCAGUGAGGAAAUUCUCCUUUUAAAAAACUUAAAGAGGCCAAUUUCAGAAGAGGCUAUAGUUGAGGGGGUUUCCAUACACUUUAACCUAUAAAACAAUUAACCUGGCUCCUAUAAUUCGUUCUAUUUCAUGGACUAGUCUCCUUGUUUAGUCCGGUCGCCUCUACUAAGUCAAUCCACUAAUUUCCACAAAUUUCUUUAUCACGAUAAAUUAGAUAGUUGUAUCACUAAUUGUCCGCCAAUUUUCACAAAUUUCUUUAUCACAAUAAAUUAGAUGGUUACAUUGAAAUAGCGAUGCACGAAUAUACUGUUAAUAGGUGCUUUUAGUUACCCACUUCGUUUAUUUUUUAUAAUGUACGAAUGUGCAGCUAUAAUUAGGUGGCACUAUAAAAAAAUUUUAAUAUAAGAACGUUUUUUAAACGACAUUUGAAAAACCGUUUCUAAGCGUCUCUACAAUACAACAAGUAUCGAGGUUUCAAAAAGAGUCAUCAUAUUAAUCCUCUAUUAUAUCAAACUAAUUUGUUAGAUGAUAAUUUUUAUUAUUAUUUUUAAGUUUUCAACGUUUUAAAUGUUAGGAUUUUUAAAAAAAUUUUAGUAAGUCCUAAUACUUUAAAGUAUCUGAAUAUACUUUACCGACGCUUGGUAUAAGCUUCUGUAUAUAUACGAUGACUUUUCAUUUGACGAUGUUUUAAUCAACGCUUUUAAAUAGCAAGGCAGAACUAUCUUAGAAUGAUUUUAAGGAUCAUUAAAUAUAAAAAAAAAGGUCCUUAAAAAUUAAGUUUCUUGCAGUGCAGUUGUAACAAUUCACUUCGUUUAUAUUUUAAUUUGUAGUGUAUGAAUAUACAGCCAGGAAUAAAAGUAGGUUCCCACUUAACUAAAAUAUAAAAAAUACUAGAUUUUGAAUUUAGCAUCUCAAAUAUUAAUUAUUAAGCUUUUCGCUAAUUACCGUUAGUGACAUUUAGAGAAGUAUUGCUGUACUAUAUAUAUAUGGUAUCGUUUGGUUCGGGGAUAAACCAAAAGUGGCUAUUCUAAGUAUAGUUAUAAAUUGAGGUACAAGCGAGGAUUAGAUCAAUUUUACAUAAAAAUUAGGUUAUUCCUAUGGAUAAAAAAAAUAGCAUUUAGUUAGAUAAGAUGGAAGAAUUAAAGUGGAUAGUUAUAAAUAAAAAAUAAUUAUAUUAACCCUUUCUUUAUAUUAGAAUUUAAAUUUUUAUAUUUUAUAUUUAUAAUUUAGAAUUUAAAAUAUAAACUUUUAAAUUUUAAAAUUUUAAAAUCUCAAAUUUACAAUUUUAAAAAUUUUAAAUUUUAAAUUUUAAACUUUAAAUUUAAGAUGAAAUUUAUUAUUAAUAAAUUUAUAAUUUUUUAAAAAUUUCUACUUAAACUUAAAUUUAAUAAAAAUAAUUUAUUAUAAUAUUUAAAUAAAAUUUAUUAUAAUAUUUAAAUAUAAAUAAUAUUUAUUAAUAUAGGAUAAUUAAUAAUUUUAUAAUAAAAACAAUAUAUUAUAAUAUAUAAUAUAUUAUAUUUAUAUAAUUUAGUUUUAAUUUAAUUUAUAAUUUUAAUUAAAGUAGAAAUUAAGCAUUGAAAUAGAACUAUUCUAUCAAAAUGGUGGAAUAGUAAAUCUCAAGCUAUUCCGGAAUAACCGGAAAUAGCAAAAUUUGACCGACAUAAAAUAUUUCGGAAAAAAAUCAUUCCGUACGGCGGAAUAGCGGGGAUAACGAAAUCUCCGCUUAUCUCC
rnacentral:lncRNA from 1 species